CAAUAGGACACCUACGUUUUCGGAGUAUACCAACACUCAAUAAUCUCGAUUAAUUAAAAUAAAUUAAAAGAAUUAUAAUAAUAAAAUUUAAAAAAAGAAUUUCAGUUAUGACCACAUGCUCUAGAAAACAAAACCCUGUGAAUAUCUUCCUCGAGUUAACAGUAAACUCUCAAGAGUUAUAAUGAAGAGUUCGACUUCCGCAAGCUGAUUGGGUAGCUCAACCCCUAAUAUCUCAAGUGAAGUGUAAUAAUGCUAAUUCAAGUUUCAUAAUCCAACAAUCUCUCACUUGAAUACUAAAAUAUAGGUAAACAAGUAAACAUCUCCCUUAAAUGAUUAAUAGGUAUGAUGCACUUAAACAACCUAUCCUCACCCUUGACCUACUAAUUGCUUUGGUCAACAUGUUAACUAGAUUCUUACUACCUUAUAUAUUUACAAGUGUUAAUACUCCAUUUUCAAGUAAAGACUUAAUGAAGUGCUAUAUGUUUAGUCCUAGAAUGAAAUGUUGAAUUCUUAGCAAAAUUUAUAACACUUUGAUUAUCACUAUCAUGCAAAACAUCCAUCAGUUGUUUGAAUCCUAACUUAGCCAACAAACUCUGCAACUAAAUCAUUUCUUUGCUAGCUUCUAUCAUAGCCACAUACCUUGCUUCAGUUGUAGAUAAAACAACAAUCUCCUGUAAUUGGGAAAUCCAACUGAUAACGAUAAUGCCCAAAGUGAAUACAUACCCUAUAGUGUUCCUUCUGAGAUCUGUCUUGCCAAAAAAAUCAGUGUCCACAUAUCCUUACAAUUUCAACUUACUCGUUCUAAAGCAUAAACACUUUUAUGUAAUACCUCAUAAGUACCUAAGUAUCCAAUUCGAUGUUUCUUAAUGUUGCUUGCCUGAAUUUGAUAUAAAUUUGCUCACAACUCCCACUACAUAGGUAAUGUCUGGUCUUCUACAUACCAUAGCAUACAUCAAACUUCCAAUGGUCGAAGUAUAUGAGACCUUAGCCAUGAAGUCUUUUUCCUCAUUUGUUCAUGGGCAAUGCUCCUUACACAACUUAAAAUGAUUUGCUAAUGGUAUUCUAACUGUCUUAGCAUAACUCAUGUUGAAUCUCUACAAUACCUUACGAAUACACUUAGCAUGAUAUAACCAUAAGGUGCCCAUUUGUUUGUCUUUACUAUUCGUCAUCCCAAGUAUACGUUUUGCUACACUCAAGUCCUUCAUUUCAAACUCAUUGGACAACUGUUGCUUCUUCAACUUGUUGAUUUCAUCUAAAUAUGUGUCAACUACUAACAUGUCAUAAACAUAAAGUAGCAAAAUGAUAUAGUUAGAACCAAUCUUCCUGAAGUAACAACAAUGGUCUACAUUGCACUUGAGAUACCCAUUAUUUUGCAUGAAAUUGUUAAACCUUUUAUAUUACUGUCUCGAAGCUUGUUUUAAACCAUAUAGACUCUUAGUUAAUCUGCAUAUCAAAUUCUCUUUACAUUUCACUACAAAUCCUUUUGACUGUUGCAUAUAUAUUCCCUCUUCCAAAUCACCAUGGAAGAAAACCGUCUUCACAUCUAAAUGUUCAAGAUGUAGACCUUUUGCUACUACAAUACUCAAAACAGAUUGAAUAGUAUUCAAUUUCACAACUGGAGAGAAGAUGUCUAUGUAGUCAAUCAUUUCUUUUUGCUGAAACCUUUUAACCACCGAUCUAACCUUAUAUCUCUUAGAACCAUCAUGGUUAUAUUUGAUUCGAUACACCCAAUUAUUAUGAAAAGCUUUUUUACCCAUUGGUAACUCCACUAGCUUCCAAGUCUGAUUAAAAAUAAGAGAUUUCAUUUCCUUUUUCAUUGCAAGCUCCCCUUGCUAUUAUGUUCCACCUGACAUGCUUCAUCAUAACAUUCAGGGUCACCUCCAUAUUUCAAUAGCAAAUAAUUCAAAUACUUCUUGUUUGGUACAUGUGGCAUGUUGGAUCUCCUUAAUGUAAGAACUACGGCUAGAUCCUGUGGUAUAUGAUCAACAUCAUAUGCAAUGUUUUCUUCAAUUUGAUUAUUCUAACCUGUCUUAUCUACCAUACUACAUUAGGAUAUCAUCUAAGCUCAAAGUAAACAGGUUUGGGUUAUAUCAGUCUAAUGGACUAUGUUGCAUCUCUAUCUUUAUACAAAACUUUCUCAUUGAAUAUAACAUCCUUACUUUUAAUCACUUUCUUAUUUUAUUCAUCCCAAAACUUAUAACCAAAAUCAUCAACACCAUAACCCAAGAACAGGUCUACCACAACACACAAAAUGUACAUGGUCAGAAAGAAAAUCAAUCAUCACAGGGUCUUUCUUGGGGGGUUGAAAAUUCAAUCCGCCUAUCAUGCAAGAAACUGGAUUCUCAACUCCAAACCAACAAAACAAACAAAAACAGCCAACCCACACUCAGCCGUCACUCUUCUCAUUUAAUUUCUUCCUCCAUUUUACUUUUUCAAUGUUAAUCCUACGCUAGUACGUAAAAUGUUGAACUCAAUUAUUUAUUAGUAUCAAGUGAUUAAAGAGGAAAAAAUAUCACCCUCAUACCCAAACUUCAAACUGGACCUGGGUUACUUUUUUUGUCGAUGCUUAGUUGAAGCGUCAAACCCCAACAGACUGGUGAAUUAAAGCUUACUAAGGAAUAUGGUAAACCAUCCUCUAAAUCUUUCAAUUAAUUGAUCCCAAUAAAAAACUAGGCACGUAAUUACUUCCUGAAUUUUUAGCCGUAGGUCAUUUACGAAAACUGUUUUGUAAUGAAUAGAUCUACAGAGAGGAAGACCAAGUCCAAGAGAUGCCCAAUUUCAAGUUCUCUUUCCCAGCAUGCGCUUUAAUUUAACCUACACCGAAACGGCACAUGCAAAAAAAUCCAACAUGGCCAACUAAGGUGGCUUCAACAGUAGACAUUUCUACGUAGACAGAAAAAGAAAAGAGUUCCACGAUUAGCAUAAAUAUGGAGUGCUACUCCACCAAGAGAGAACACCAAAUCGGGCUUAACCAGUUCCAAAUACAAAGGUUCCUUGGUUUUUGUCUCGACACAUCCAAAUUAAGCCAUGGCUUCCCUAUCCUUGUUUUCCUUUUUCUGUAUGUUUUCGUUUCUACUGGGGAUGGCACAUGCACAGCUCUCCCCCAACUUCUAUGCAAGUUCAUGUCCUAGGGCUCUCUCUACCAUUCGAACUGCAGUAAACAAUGCAGUGGCCAAAGAGCGCCGCAUGGGGGCCUCAUUGCUCCGCCUUCAUUUCCAUGAUUGUUUUGUAUUGGCAAGUCCUCCACAUAUAUAGAACUCCUUUUUUCUGGAUAUUCUGUUUUUCAUUACUUGUUCUGGUUGCUUCUGACUAGCUCUGCAACUUAGGUUUGAAAUCCAGAAGUCAACCAGGAUCAUUUGGCACUGGUUGAACUUUAAGAUGUUAAUAAACCUCAAUUAAUCCCUACAUACAUGAGAGGGAGAGGAAAAUAUUAGUAACAUGCAUGCAUACAUAUAGCUGUUUGACAGGAAAAUGCGUACUAAUAACAUCUUCAUGUAUAAAUUCAACAGGGAUGUGAUGCUUCUAUAUUAUUGGAUGACACUGCAAACUUUACUGGAGAGAAGACAGCAGGACCAAAUAAUAACUCUUUGAGAGGAUAUGAUGUGAUCGACACCAUUAAAUCUCAAAUGGAAAGCUUGUGCCCUGGAGUUGUUUCUUGUGCAGAUAUUGUAGCUGUGGCAGCUCGUGACUCUGUUGUUGCUGUAAGAGACUAACGUCCUUCACAACUACCAUAUAUAUAGCCAUUAAUCAUAACCUUGCAGUUUAUAAUGGGGUUCAGAGAUAUAAUAAUCCAUCUUUCCUAUUCUACAAACAUCAUUAUUUUAGACUAUUUCUGGCCAGGUUUCAUUAACCACCAUAGAACCCUCAUCAUGGCCAAACUUUUAAUUAACAUGGGUGCACGAUAAAACAUAGCUCCGUAUACCGGUGUUCUGCUGAACUACGAUAAAAAUCAUCCCAAAAAAUCAUGAUGGUUCUAUUAAAGAUUAAUGGGCUAAGACACUUCAAAUAAUUAGUUAAUUAACUAAAUAUUGUUGUUGAUUGAUUACGGGUUUUUUUCAGUUGGGUGGCCCAACAUGGACUGUGCAAAUGGGCAGAAGAGAUUCAACCACGGCGAGCUUAAGUACUGCUAACGCUGACCUCCCUGCCCCGACCUCAGAUCUUGAUGUUCUUACAUCUCUCUUCUCCAACAAGGGCUUCACUACCCAGGAAAUGGUGGCUCUCUCAGGUAUACUAUGGCAUUUGGUAGCAGAAAUAAGUAGAAAAUUGAUAAAAAUAGUUUUUUUUUUAAAUAUAAGAAAAUGAUAUCGUACUUCAAGAGUGGUUUUCAUUUCUGUUGCCAAAUGGGCCCCAUAUAUACAUCAUUGUAUUUAUUAUGCAAAAUUCCUCAUAAUUUGUUAUAUGUGGUUUUUUUUUUAAUUAUUAUUAUUAUUUUUGCCUUUUAGGAACUCAUACCAUAGGUAAAGCACAAUGCAUAAAAUUUCGGUAUCGAAUUUACAACGAGACCAACGUCGAUGCUGCAUUUGCAAAAUCAAAACAGAAAAUCUGCCCAUGGACAGGCGGGGAUGAGAAUCUGUCUGAUCUGGAUGAAACGACUACUGUUUUCGAUACUGUUUAUUUCAAGGAUUUGAUAGAGAAGAAGGGUCUGUUGCACUCAGACCAACAACUUUACAAUGGUAACUCCACAGAUUCCAUGGUCGAAACCUACAGCACCGACUCUACCACUUUCUUUACCGAUGUGGCCAACGCCAUGGUUAAAAUGGGAAACUUGAGUCCCCUGACCGGCACUGAUGGAGAGAUCAGGACAAACUGCAGGAAAAUCAAUGGAUAAAUUUAAAUGUCUUUAAAGUUGUACUUCAGUUAAUAUUUGGGAGUAGCUUAUCACAAAGUGAUUUGCGACAUAUAUCUUGUUUACGGUAUUUGUAUUUGCUCAUCAACUUAAAUGUUUAUCUCAAAUAAAGUUUUUAGUUGGUUUUGGAUCUACUACAAAAAUUAAAUUUCUUUACAUGCGACAUACUUUGUGCACCAUAAAUUUGAAUGAUUUAAAUUAUUUUCGUACUCAUUUGAUUAAAACUAAAUUAUAAGAAAAUUUCACAAAAGACUUUGCAAGAAAAGGUCAUAAAUCAUAGCCAAGCAAAUAAGCAGGCCUUCACAGGGAUUGGAUGGACAGUUGGCAGUCAUAUGUGUAUAUAUAUAUAUAUAUAUACACAUAUAUGUCUCUUAUGAUAAUAAUAGUACGAAUAAGAUUGAUGGUGACAGUGUGAAAGCUUUGUCUUUUAUCUGCCCAAUAAACCCUAGUGAAUAAUGCAACCUAAUGUUGUAUCUAGGUUUUGCUAACAAAACUAUGCAAGCUCAACGGACCCACUACAUUUGGUGUAUCGUGCAGCAUACUGUUCUGGGCCUCUGUCUUCUUAAUUGGGCGUCUCCUGUAAAUUUAUUAUUUUUUGAAAUUCAUUCAGUAAGAGCUAAGUUUUAUAUAUAAUUUGACAUAUUUUAUUUUUAAUUUGACUUCACUCUCUGAAAAUUAAUAUUCCUAAAGUUCGAUAAAAUGGAAUGACAGUCAAGAUUAGAAUGGGGGAGGAUGAGAAAAUGACAAAGUAAUGCUUCUAUUUUUAUUUCUUUAGAAGAAAAAUUACAUUACACUUCUGUAGCUUAUAUGUUUAAGUAGUUGUUGAUGCCUAUAACUAACUUGAGGGACUAGUUUUAACAGAAGUGAUCAGUUGAAAUUGGAAACUAACUCAACUGAGUUCACUAACAGCCCUCCUCAAACUUAGGGUGGACUUGGGUUGACACUCAGUUUGGCACGCAUGGUGAGGAAUCUAGAGUUAGGAAUUGCCUUGGUGAAGACAUUUGGUAACUGAUUAGAGAAACGAACAUGAUGGAUGUGGAUUUGUUUCUGAAGAACUUUUUCUCAAACAAAAUAAAGAUCAAUUUUGAUAUGCUUAGUAUGAGCAUGAAGAACAAGAUUAACUUAGAGGUAUACUGUGUUGAGUUGUCACACUAGAUGAUCGGAGUUCUGGAUGAAGAUAUGUUCAAUUCUUUGAGGAAAGAUUGCAACCAAGAAAUUUCAGCAACUAAGGUAGCUACACUCCGAUAUUCCACCUCAAUGGAAGAUUUAGAGAUUGUAUGUUGCUUUCGGGAGUGCUAGGAAACCAAGUUUUGACCAAAAAAGAGGCAGUAUCCUGAUGUGAAGUGGUGAUCAUCAACAUUUGAGGCCCAAUCAACAUCAUAGAAUGCUGUUAAGUUGAGGUGUGAGCUGGAGCAAUAUUGGAGAUGGAGUCCAUGCUGAAGAGUACCAACUAGAUAGUGUAGGAUUCUCUUCAUAGCUUUCCAAUGAGUAGUAAGAGGAGCUUGCAUGAAGUGGCAAACUCGGUUGACACUAUAGGUGAUAUCUAGACAUGUGAUGGUGGCAUAUUAGAGGGCACCAACAAUGCUUUUAUAGAGUUGAGUGUUGCUGAAUGGAGCACUUCCAAAGUUAGAUAGGGACUAGUUAGAUACCAUAGGUGUGGGAAUUGGCUUGACAUGAAGCAUAUUGGUUUUUUAAAGUAGAUUGGAGAUAUACUUGGCCUGUGACAAGUGCAUUCUAGUACAUGUAUGCUUGACUUGGAUAUCUAGAAAGUAAUCAAUAUCUCAAAGAUCCUUGAGGGCAAAUUGGUUGUUAAGCUAAGUGAUCACAUGUUGAACAAACUGAUCAUUGUUGCGUAUGAUAAGAAUAUCAUCCACAUUUACUAGAGUGUAAGUGGAGUGAGUAGGUGUGAUGUUGAUAAAUAGGGAUUGAUCGAAUUUAGUUGAUGAGAAACCAAGAGUGUCAAGUGCUUGUUGUAGCUUUUUGAACCAAGCUUUAGGGGCCUAUUUGAGGCCAUAAAGAUAUUCAUUUAGCUUGCAGACAUAGUUCGGGUUAAGAGGGUCGAUAAAGCCUUCAAGUUGAUGCAUGAAUAUUUCUUCAUGAAGGUUGCCAUUGAGAAAUGUGUUAUUAACAUCUAGUUGUCAAACUUUCCAUUGAGAAAGACAGUGGUGAGAACAAUGCGAAUGGUAGUCGAUUUGACAAUCAGACUAAAGGUUUCCUUAAAGUCAAGUCUAGCUAUUUGAUGAAAGCCCUUGUCAACUAAACAGCCUUUGUAUUUGUUUAUAGUUCCAUUGGGAUUCUCCUUGACUUUGAACACCGAUUUGCAGCCGAUCAAUUUGCGAUUAAUGGGGGGGGGGGCAAGAUUCCAAGUAUUGUUUCAAAGGAGAGCAAGAUAUUCAUCAGCCAUGGUCUGUUUCUAAUGGCUAAGUUAGAGAACUUCAAGGAUUGAAGUGGGAAUGGUAGAAAUAAGAUAAGCCUUUGGUUUAAAAAUGUCAUUCUUGGAUCGAGUGAUCAUAGGAUGGGUAGGAAAAGGAGAGAAAGUGAUGCUACAUUUUGGUUAGAGGUGGCAGGAGGUAUUGGUGGGUUGGUUGGAGAAGAGGUUGAAGAAAGGAGAAUCAUUAGUGGAAAAGAGGUUUGACAAGGAAUGGAAGUGGAUGAAGAGCUGAAAGAAGAAGUUACCUGUUCUUUGGACUGCAAUUUAGCAAAUAAGAAGGUAUGUUCAUCAAAGAUAACAUCACGGGAUAUCAAUAUGUUACCAUAAGAGAAGCUUAAACUGAGCCAACCAGUUGAGAAUCGAUCAAAUCAAUUGCUUUUUCUUGAUCAAGGACCAAUCAAGUGUGCAAAAAAAUUCUCUUUUUUCUAGGAAGUUUUCAUACCUGAUUUAGGCUACAUUUUUCCUAAUUGAGGUAUAGUCGAGGCCCAGUCGAAUUUAAACAAAGACUAAUGAUCACCUACUAUGCAUUUAUUAUCCAAUGACUAGUGAACCAAUCAAAUUGGAGCUCGACCAAUCAAGGCUUAUUUAUGUUUUUUUAGGUGUCCAACGUUAAAAACUUAUAAAUAGAAAACUCGUAUGCAUUUAUUAAUAAGAGAACACUUACAUUGGAUUGUCCAUCUACCAUUUUCUCUCUUUCAAAGCUCUUAUUCAUUUCUGUAUUAAUCUUUCACUUACAAAUCAUUCUUAGUGCACCCUUUGUAUUCAUCCUCCAUUUUUCUGUACUUAUUCAUUUAUUGAGCCAGGAUUAAGUAAAGUUAAAACCUAAAUUUCCUUUAGAAAUGUUGAGUGUUAAAGCUUCAAGUUAAGAUUAAACUUGAAGAGCUUAGUUGUACGUGCCCAUUAGAAGCAUUGAAUCCAAGUCAUGUAAGAGUUGAAGCUUGGGUUAGAAGCCUUGAUCUAGUAGAACUCUUGAAAGGAAAUUGAAAAGAGUGGACAUAAGUAAAAAUUAUCAAACCAUUAUAAAAAUCAAGUUUAGAUUUUUUUAUCUCUAUCUCUUUACAUUCAUUUAGUGCGCUAAUUGAAAAAAUUUUAAAUUCCAAUUCCCUCCUCAAUGUUGUGUUUGACUCAAUUGACCAUGUUUUACAAAUCUCUUAAACCGAUUAAAUGUAAUAGUUAAUUUUGGUUUUCAUUUCUUCAAUCAAAAACACAUAUCCAUCUUUUAGAUUCGACUAUUAGAUUUGUUAACAAUAAAGAUUAAACUAAAUUAGAAACCAAUUAAAUGUAAUAGUUAAUUUUAGUUUUCAUUUCUUCAAUCAAAAACUCAUAUCCAUCUUUUAGAUUCAACUAUUAGAUUUGUUAACAAUAAAGAUUAAACUAAAUUAGAAACCAAUUAAAUGUAACAACUAAUUUUGGUUUUCAUUUCUUCAAUCAAAAACUCAUAUCCAUCUUUUAGAUUCGACUAUUAGAUUUGUUAACAAUAAAGAUUAAACUAAAUUAGACAAUAAUCCCCAAGAAUCACUAAUACCUAGUAAGAAUCCUCCAUACCUUAUUUGAGGUAAACUAACAAAGAGGAUUUAUUCCUAUCAAUUUAAAGUUGAAAACACAAUUAAAUUAUUUCAUACACUAUUGUUUUUUAUGACACUGCCUUUGGAUUCUUCACUUUCAUGUUAACAUCUUUGGAUCACACCAAGUUAGCCAAACAUCGUGGAUGAUUUUUCCUUGAAACCCAUGUUUGAUUGCCCAGAAAAUAAAAUAAAAAGAAUUAAAAAAUAAAACUUUUAUUCAAUAUAAUUUUAAAAGAAGUGAUCAAUCUCUCUCCUUACUUCCCGCAUCGCAAAAACCUUAAAACAAAGUAUAUAUAUAUAUAUAUAUAUAUAUUAUUUAACUUAUAAAUAAUCUCUUGUAAAAGUGUUUAUAACUCACCAUAACUAAAUAUGAAUCUCAUUUGACUAACCAAAAUAGCACAAAAGGAUUUUUUUAAAAGAAAACAAUGAAGAAAUUGGGGUAUCAAUGCCUCGGGUACUUGAGCUAUGAUUCACUGUAUUGUCUAACUAGAGCCAAGAUUUUAUGACAACCCAAAACUCGGAUCGGACAAUUGGGUAGGUGUAUCGUGUAUGCAGCCCCAUAGCCAAUUCAUUCUUUAUUUAGGUUUGUUUUACAAGGCAUGACACAUAGCAAGCAAGAAAAUCAAACCCCUACGAUUUGUCAGUCAUCACAUGCCCUCUCAUGUAGGGUUGAAAAUUGAAUCCGCCUAUUAUGUGUGAAACUGGACCUCGCAUGUGCUUUUAAUGCUGCCUCGAUGAUUUUUUUAGCAUUACGAAUUCAACAACUAACUCAAUUUUUAAUUACAUUUUGCGCAUUGACCUUCUUGUUUGCGUUACGGUACCAGUUUAUACUCCCUUGGUAGAUGUUCUGAAGUUUCAUGUCAUGUAGAUGAGGAUCAGACAUUGUUCACCUUCCUCAAAAUGUAUUGACGUACUAUGAUAUUAUAAAAUCCAUUAAUUAUUUUUUAAAGAAGGCAAAUUAUAUCAUUUUUAUCACUUAUAUGUCAAUUUUAUUGAAACUUCGUAAAUUUUAGAUUGUGUUCGGUUCCAAAAAGUGUUAAGAAGAGAAAAAAUAAUAAUUUUAUCAUGUUUGAUUAUCCUAUAUAAAAUAAAAAAUAUAUAAUUAAAAUUUUAAAUAUUUUCAAAUUAUUUAAAUUUUAUAUUAGAAAGUUAAAAUAAGUUAAAUGAUUUAAAAUAGGCUUUUAUUUUUAUUUUUAUUUUAUUUUUUCUUUUAUUUUUCUUUUUAUUUUCUUUUCCUCGUAUUUUUUGAACCAAACAUAAUUUAAUGUAAUGACAUACAUAUUAGUAACUUGAAUGGGAGAAUUAAGAAGCCAAAGGGUUAAGGAUGUGAAUGCAACUAAGCCGAUUUAAAUUGCAGCAUCAGUCAAAGAAUUAAGUUGUUAAUUAAAUUUUUGAUAACUCGUCAAUUGCUUCCUAAAUGCGAAACCUAUGUCUUACAAUAAAAUUUACCUUACUUAAUACUAUAAUAAUAUGAUCAUCAUUUCCAGGAAAAAAUAAUUAUAUAUAUAUAUAUAUAUAUAUAUGUUCUGAAAUGUUCCUGGCAGGGGACAUCACCCUUACCCCCAAGUUGCUGUUUUAUAUAUGGAGCUUUAAAAUAUUCAUCAUGUUUUAGUGUUUGAAAUGCACAUUAAUCACAAUUUGGUCACGAGAUACGAGUUUAAUUAAUUGAAAAUUUGGGAUGGGAAUGAGCAUUUGGGUUUCAUCAAUACUUGAGUCAAAUUAGUAUCAUGGCUCCCGCUACAUGCCCUUGUAUCAGUCGCCACCUGCUGCUGAUCCAGGAUGAUGAAAAAAUUCUAUGGAUGUGACGAGAAUAUUUUGAAGUGUUUUCUUGCAUGAAAUGAUGUCAAUGCGCCAUUGGAAGGCAAUGAACAUGUGGUACAAAUUAGCAACACAUCAAGAAUUCAAUGUCCGUACAAAUCGACUUUAGACUUUAAAAAGAAGAAUAAGGAAGAGAAAGAUGAUUGAUAUUCAUUUCAAACAGCUGGUUGAUUAUUGCUUUUUGAAUACUAAUGAACAUAAAAGCCCAUAAUGUUGCAAAUAUUUACCAUCUACGUCAUUGUGAGUAAUCGGGGUGACCACUAGCAAUACUCUAUAGAUGAUUAAUUCAUUAAUUAAUUAGGAAUACUGUCAUCAUGAUCAGGCAACUUGAUUAUGUCACCAUAAAAAAUGGAAGAUUUUUUAUUCUCGAUCUAAUGUUCCAUGAAAGGAGAAAACCCAAGGAGAGAGUUCUUCAUAGAACAAGUUAGCAAACUGGGAUUCCAUCUGUACUCAUCUGCUUCAAGCUAGACAUGGGAGUUUACUCAACAUUUCCAUUAUUAUUUUGCAUCACCUCACAUGGGUUAACUAAGAUUUGCGCAGAUGUAAAACUUUGGUCAAUGAAUCCCCAACUCAGAAGGUGUAUUCAACUUUGAGUUAGUUUUUGUGCAACUUGGUGGAAUAUAUUUUUAAGGGAACAAUGCUUCUCACUAACUACAAAUUAUUUGGACAUAUAAAACAAAGAGUUGCCUGACCCUAUUCAUGAGUUUAUUAUUUAUAUUCUUUUUCAUUUUAGGCAUGCGAAUGGAUUUAAGAUGGCGUGUCGCCGACAACAAGGCUACUGCUUAAUGGUGAGCCCCUACUGCUAUGAUUCGAUUCAAUUUUAAAUGUGAAUACAACUCAACAGGAACUUAGCAAGGGAGCAAGCCACUUAAGACUUGAAUUGCUCUAAGACCUCCACUUAGUACAAAUAGAGCUCACACCCUCACCUAUUUUCUCCGUCUCGUUGUACUAAAUUAAGUGCAAUCUGCAGAUCAUACCCAAUCUUCCAAGUCCUUUCCUACAAUAUGCGUUACCCGUACUAUUCUCCCCCUCCACCACCUUCACCACCACCACCACCUCCUCCACCGCCGCCGCCGCCUCCAUGCAACCCAGUCACGCCACCACCGCCACCUCCUCCACCUCCACCUCCACCUCCACCCGCAUGUAACCAUGGCAUGCCGCAAUCCCCACCCCCACCCCCACCCCAACAUCCAAUGCCACCAUGUAAGUGUGGGUACCAGCCCCCUACACCAACCACAACACCAACACCAGCGCCAGCUCCUUAUACUGCUUCACCUCCACUAUCACCACCGAAUGGAAUACCACCAGGUGCACAGCCACCGAAGGGAAAACCACCAGGAGCACAGCCACCAAACGGAAAACCACCAGGUGCACAGCCACCGAAGGGAAAACCACCAGGCGCACAGCCACCAAAUGGAAAGCCACCAGGUGCACAGCCACCAAAGGGAAAACCACCAGGCGCACAGCCACCAAAUGGAAAACCACCAGGUGCACAGCCGCCAAAUGGAAAGCCACCAGGUGCACAGCCACCAAAUGGGAAGCCACCUGGUGCACAGCCACCAAAAGGAACACCACCAGGUGCACAACCACCAGUUGCAAAACCACCUUCUCAUUAUGGUUAUCCCCCUUACGGUUCCCCUCCAAUUUAUGCCUCGCCUCCUUACGCUGCACCCCCAACUAAUGGCUCAAUCACACCAACACCACCAGUCCUGUCUCCGCCACCUUCCGGAGGCCACCACACCACCAUUAUUGCGGUGUGCGUCUCGUUGGGUGGCCUCUUCUUCCUCGCGUUCCUCGCAGCUGGUCUCUUCUGCUUAGCUAAGAAGAAGAAAAAGCCGGUGAUGGUUCCAGCAGUACCCCCACCCCUCUGUGUUGAAGAACACGAACAAAUCCAGGAGACAAUCACCACAGGGGCUUAUGGGGAGCAAACAGUUACAGGAUCAGUUGAGGACGAUGCCCAAAUUCAUCAAGCCGGAGGUCCUUCUGGUGGCCCACCUGGGGUCGCCGGAGCUUCCUCUCAUGCUCCAGCCCAACAGCAUUGCUAAUGCUAGUACAUCCUUUCCCCUUCAAACCAAAAUCAAGUUGCCAGCAUGCAUAUUGGUUCGAUUUCAAUUUACAGUUUGUUACACUAGUGAUCAGUAAUAAACCAAGUUGCCAGCACGCAUGAACCCAUAUUGGUGUGAUUUCAAUCUGCAGUUCGUCACACUAGUGAUUUCACUGAUUUGUAAUAAGUUCCGCGAAUUGGGGCUUCCAUGAUUGUUUGUAUUGUAUUGUGCAUAUGAAUUGGGGCUUAUAUAAUUGUUUGUAUUACAUUGAGAUAUAUUCAUGGUGUGUGGAUUUAAGUAGCAGAAAGAGGGCAUCCUUGGACCUACCUGUGCUCCAUGUGCUCCAUGCGUCAUUGUUGUCAUACUGGUAUUAAACAAAGUUUAUAUUUAGUAACAAAAAAAGCAAUAGGGUUCAUAUGCCUGAGAAGUGGAUAUAAUGAUAGAUGCACUUGACUUUAUUGUUUAAUAAGACUAAAAGACAAUAGGAUAGCCGAUAGGAGCAGGUAGAGUGCUAGAAAAAUGGGAAGGAGGUUCUGACAAGAUUGCUGAUGAAGGCGAUGUCCAGUGGACCUUAAUGGGUUUGGUAACUGUCAUGCUACAAUACUUUGACUAGCUAAUUCUAAUUAAUUUAUUCUAGCUUCGCGUUUAAGGAAUCAAGACAUUGUUUGGGCUGCGACAGAAAGGCGGAGGUUCUCUGCAACCGUAUCUGCAUCGAAGUUAUAUCACUUGGAAACGUGGCUGGAGACUGUUGGGUAAGCUCUGAUGCAUGUGGUUUGGCAGGCAUGGAUGUAACUUAUUUGAAAGAUAUGUGUCACAUGGAAUAAUUGUGGGAGCGUUGUUGACAAGUCAUAUUGCCACCAUGAUUACAGCUGCGAGUCUAAGGCUCUAAGCCGCCGGCAGGAAACAUCUCCCUUCUGUUUUUCUCCCACUUUUUCCCUUCUUUUUAUCUGUUUUGUCUGUUUCGCUUUUACACUAUUUCUGGUGUCAACAUUCCAGGCACGUAAAGAUUCUCCGGUGGGCCAAGUUAGGGUUAGCGAAAAGUUUAAAAUGAAGGAUUUUUGAAAGGGAAAACGAAAUUUAAUCCAAGGCAAUAAAUUUUAUAUACUAUAAGAUAAAUAUAAUCUGGAACGCUAACUAAUUGUUAAAAAACGACUUAAUAUGACAGCGUUUUCACAUUGUCACCAUUUUUUUAAGCCCAUUAAUGCUCAUAAAGGUCUAAAGAGUGUGCGUCAAUUGUCAUUAGAUGGCCAUCAAUUAAAUAAAUUAUCUUCGUGAACUUUUUUAUUUUAGAGAACGUGGAAGGGCCAAGAAAGUACAUACCCUUUUCCUAUAAAUAAAUUUACAACUUUAGUUAGUGAGUUGAGUUGGCAUGAGUCGCAUGACAUCGGCUAACAGAUAAGAACAGUCUUUAAUAUUGCAAUUUGUGAGCCAAGUUGUAAUGAUGAUGAUAGGUCUGGCUAGUGUUAGAGAAUGAUUAUCUGAGGGAGUGCCUGUCGCCCAUCCAAGGAAUUGACAAGAGUUAUAAGAAUUAGAAGCAGAAGGAACCCUAAUCCCAGCGCAUAGAUCUGGGUUGGGUCGCCCUUCAAAGUGCUGCAGCUGGGCUCUGUUAUCAUCCGGUUGGGCCUACUUUCAAAAGAUAGACAGGCCCGUCUCAAUCAAGAAAAAACUGGUGGAUGGAUUUGCAAUGGGCACCUUUGAAGUUUCCAAUUGCGUGCUAUGCACGACUAAAGUGGGUUUCUUUCCGGUCUUGAGAUGAAGGAAUUCCAAUAAAAUAUGGACAAUAAGGUAAGAUGGGGGAGUGCAAAAUGUGAAAGUAGCUCAUAAUUCAAGGUAUUGAUAUAAGAAGUGAGAAUAUAAAAUAAUAUUUUUUAUUUAUGGAUAUAGAUAUAAUUAAUCAAAUCACGCCAAAGCCUUAAAUAUUUUAUAUUGUUCCUAUUGUUCUUUUCCUUUAAGUUUUGCGCUUGGUAUUGUGACAGGUAUCAAACCCUUUGUCAAAUAUUUUUAGAACCAAAGGUAACACAAAAGAUUAUAAAAUGAAUUUUAAUUAAAAGUAAAAUCAAUUAUUCUCUCAUUAGGAAAUGAUAUAAAAAACAAGGGAAUCAUGAGCUGGCAAUAUCAUGCAAGAAAACUCUAACACACACUAUGCGUAAUAGUAUAUAUUAUCAAAACAUGAAAGAUUAACUAAAUAAAAUUUGACUUAAGAUGGAGAUUGAUAAAAAAAUGUUUAAAAUUUUUAUGUAGCAUAUAUAUAUUUCUUUUUUAUAUUUUAAAUAUUAAUUAAGAAUUUAAGAUAUUUUUCAAUAUUAAAAUCCAUGAGGAAAUGGUCACAUUAAGAGAGAGGCCGAAGUCAUCAACCAAGCAAAAUGAUGGGCAAUUAAGGUUAGGGUUGCAAUGAAACUUCGGAAAUUAAAUUUUAAGGUUGCGAUGAAGCUUGAUAUGGAUUGUUUUGUUAGUCCAUACAAGUUAAAAGUUUAAUUAAGUUAUGCAAUACUAUAACUUAAAAGCUUAAUUAAGUUAUGCAAUAGUGGACCAAUAUUGUACUAAGCACUUAUUUGGGUUACAUUUUAUGGGGAUUAUUGACAAGAGUAUGGUAAUUUAAAAAAAAAAAAAAUUUCAAAUCUAUUGUAAUUUUUGUUAUUUUCUUUUAAAAUCGUCUAUUCAAAAAUUGAUUUAUAUACCAAAAAAAUCGUCUCUUGAAGAUAUGAUUUUCUAAAAUUCAUUUUUAAAAAAAUUUACAUACUAAAAUUAUCUCUUAAAGAUACGAUUUCUUAAAAAAUAAAAUAAAAUUGUCUCUUCAAAAUACGAUUUUUUAAUUAAUUUUAUUUAUCAAUUUUAAUAUAUAAAAAAAUUAUGAUUAUUGAGAUAUUUAUCAACAAUAAUAUUUAUAAAAUAUAAAUUAUGUUUAAUAUUUAAAUAUUGAUUUAAAAAAUAUUUUCUUCUUAAUGUUCAAAAAUUUUAAAUUAAUUCAAUUAAUUAUAACUAAUAAAAUUAAUUUACUUUGAUAUUGUUUUUUAUUUAUAAGAUAAUAAUAUUUAUCUAAUAUUUUUUGUUUCUUUUGCUUUGUAAUUUAAAAACAUUAUUAUCAAUUUUAUGUGAAAAAUGCGUUUAUAAAAAACAAAUUUGUUCUUAAAUUAUUAAAUAAUUAUUUACAAAAUAAAUAAUUUUUUAUUUUAAUUUUGAAAUUAAUUUUAUUAUACAAAUUUUAAAAUAAAAAUAUUAAUAUUUAAUUUAAAAUUUUAACUGUAGAAGGAAUAAAAUAUACAAAAAUAAAUUAAUUUUCAAUAAAAUUUUCAGCAUUAAAAGAUAUAAUUUUUUAAGUAUUAAUCAAUUUAAAAAGAAAUAAUAAUCAUUUGUCUAUUAAAAUAUUUUAUUUAGUAAUUAUAAAUGAUAAACAACUAAAGUAAUUUGAAAAUUUAAUAAAAUAUUUCUUUAAAAAUAAUUUAAUACAUUUAAAAUUAGAAAUGAUUAACUAUUUUUUAUUAAGAAAAAUUGAGGAAAUAUUUUGUUAUAUCAAAUUUUUUUAUCUGUUUUCAAUUUUUAAUGUUAUAAGUUUCAAAAAAAUUGAUCAAAUAAAAAAUAAUAAAUAAAAAUUAAGAAAUUAUUUUUACAAAAACUAUAUAUCCAAAUAAAAGCCUUGAAAUUCAAAUACACAAUAUCAUAAAUAUAAACACCAAGUCAAUCCUUAAUUAUCAAAAGUUUUCAAUAUUAAAGAAUCUAAGUCACCUACUAUCAUGAUUGUAAGAAAACCAAUAAUAUUGUUCAUGUAAAUACUAAAAAACUAAUAAAUAUCCCAACAAUUAAUAAAGUAUCAAUCAUGAUAAAAAAAAUUAUUUAUUAUUAUGAAUGCAAAAUUUUAUAUUCAAGAGACGAUUUUAGUAUGUAAUUUUUUUUUAAAAUUCAUGUCUUUAAAAGACGAUUUUUUUUAUACCUAUAUAUAUAUAUAUAUAUAUAUAUAAAUCGUUUUCAAAUAGAUGAUUUUAAAAGGAAAUAAUGUUCUCUCUUCUAUUUGGCAAAAAUUAUGGUAGAUUUGAAAUUAUUUUUUUUUGCAACGGUGGAUUAGGAAUUAUUUUUUUAAACUGUCGUACUCUUAUUAAAAAUCUCAUGUUAGGGUCGUAGCCUAAGUAUUUUGAUAUAUAAUGGUGGUCAAGUUGACUUUGUAUGUGAAUAAAUGGCUAUGCGAAUUUCCAAAAAAUCAAAGGAUAUUUGUUUUUGGUUUUCCUUUUUUUUUUUUUUGUUGAAAACAAUUUGAUGUUACACAUUGAGUUGUUUAUUUUUCUAAUUUUUUUUAUAAAUUAUUAUAAUUUUUUAUUGAAUACAAAAAUUAGAAUAUUUAAAAAAUUUAAAUAAAAAAAUAAUAUAUUGAUUUUUUUUAAUUUUUAAUAUUUAAUAAAAAUAAAAUAUUAAAAAAUUUAAAAAAUUAAUACUUAAUACUAUUAAACACUAUUUAAUUUUAAAUUAUAUUUAAAAUUAAGUAAAAAAUCAAAUACCACUUGAAUUGAUUUCAACUUCUACUAUUCCAUCAUAACUUUUGGGGGAUAUUGGCGUAUGCAUCUUCUCUCAAAUGGGUGUCCAAGCUCCGUUCAACAUACAGUUGAAAGAUUAUCAAUUUCGGGUGCAGACAUAUCCUUUUUAGUUAUCUCCGAUGGUGAGACUUGAGGAGGAAAAACAAAACACAAGGUCAUUUUGAAACUGUACUCUUCAGCCUUGGACAUUAAGAAGAUAAUCAAAGAUUGCAAAGCAGAAUACGAGGAGGGAGGGUUGUGGUUUGGUACGUAUUUGUGCAGCUUCUAAUUUGGUCUGUCACAUUGAGGUAAAAGUGAUGGCCCCCCAGUCCAUAGCAAACAGAUAAGAGUUUAUCAUUGAAUUUGCUAGGUUGAGAAGGAUUCAUCGUUUCAAUAUAAUGCCAAUUAUUGAUUGUUUCCCCGAUAUUCCAGACAUGCUCUUGUUUUCAUUUCCAGGAUCAAUGCAUCUCUUUAGAGGCACUAUCCUUAAGAAAUAGCAAUGUUCCUCCAAGCUGGCAGAAAAUCCAAGGGGUAUAUGCUAGCUGUUUCUGAAUUUUUGCAGCUGGAAAGUGACUGUAGAGAAUGCACAAACUCAUAAUGACACUAUUCCUUCUCAUCCCCGAUUUCCAAAUGGUCCACCCAAGAAACAUGUGGCCAUCAAACGGGGAAUUACAUGAUGAGAAAUUGAAGAGAAGAGUUAAAGAAAAAAAAAAAGCUAACCAAAAGGAGAAAAAAGAGAAAAAAAGAAAAAGAAAGAUCCAUACCCCUCAAUGAGUUUCAAGAAAAGGGGAUGUGUACUAAGCAAUUAAUGCACUGAAGCACGAACCAUGGCAGUCCUUCAACGACAACACAAGUUAAUAGCAUGUUUGGUCCCAGCAACCUUCUGGAAAUGGAUCCCUCCCACCAAAUCUUGAUAAUCAAAAUAAAAUAGGUUAUUGUCCUCGACUGCUUUGCAUGCCCAAUCAAUUUUGUUUUCGAUUACCAGUAUAGUUCUCUCAUAAACAUUUCAAUUUUGUCAUUGACUUGUUCCUAUUUAGCAUUUGGUGAUGGCCAAACGUGCAUAACGUACACACAAUCCUAAUCUAAAGAAAAAGUAUUAAUUCUGUUCAAGAAACCUAAUCAGGGAGAGCAUAACCUUGUUUGAAACCUUGCACAAACAACAUUGUCGACUGGUGGUUUAGGCCCGGAUGCUUCUGAAAGCAUUAUGGAUAGGUUCCGAGAGUUGCGGUUUGUGCCUACAUAAAGCAUUAUGCAUAGGUGGACCUCGGGAAUUAGAGAGUUGCCAUGUGUUACGUCAUCAUUACUAGUUUCCCACCCCAAAAUUCCCAAAAAGGUGAAUGCUACGGUAUUAGUUUAAUUAUUGUUAGUAUGUGGUUCAUAUUAGAGUUAAAGACAUAUAUAAAUAAAAAUGGACAAAUAUGGGAGUGAAGACAUUUGUUAUUCAGAUUUGUAUUUCUAUUGUUGUGGAUGAAUGAUAGGUUGGGGGUGCGGGGGGCGAUGUCCCUCGCGGUACGGUUUAGGGGUAUUUUUGGAAUUUCAUUCCAAAUGAUUAAUAUAAAUACCCUUUUAUGUAACCCUAAUUCAAUACAUAGUGAAAGUCCUUUUCCUUGUUCCCGUGGACGUAGGUAAAUUGCCAAAUCACGUUAAAUCUACGUGUUCUUUCUUUCUCAUUUUCCCUAUUUUUCACCAUAAAUCAUUGCACGGAUUACAACAUUAUCUUAUAAUCACCACACUAGUCAUCUAGAAGGUUUUACUACUUUGAAUGGGUGCACAGGAUUUACACAAUAGAAGAAGCCAAAAAAAAAUGGGUCCCCUUCACUAAAGCAUAAUUGGACCCUUGUAAGUCUAACCAUUAAUUUGGAACUGGUGGUGCUGCCCUUUUUUUUGAACUCUUAUAAUGAAGAUAAUGAUUAGAGAGAUCAAUCUUUUAAAUCUCUUAUCUUUAUCGGUGUCAAGUCAACUGGAGUUAGGUUUGUCUAGCUUCACUGAAGUCAAGCAAACUUCUUUCAUUUUUCGUGCUUCUUAAGGAGUCUAUCCAGUUGCACUAGAGUUAGACGAACUUCUUUUUUAUACAAAAUGAUGUCCGGAUUGGUGAUAUGAGCACGCCCCUCCGAAACUUAAAGUCAGAUAAAAAUAGCUUUAGCUAUUUUGUGGGAGAGAAUGAGCAUCGUGCACACAUAUCUUAUUCGUGCUUUUUAAGAGACUUAUAUAGAACUAAUGGCACUACUAUUGUAGUGCUGACUAUGCACUCUAACCUUUCUUAUAAUGAUGAUUGUCCUUAACACGACUGGGCAAUCAUAUCAGAUAAAGGCGCUUGACAGGUGUCAUCCGUUGACGUGCCAAAAUCUUGGACCAUACAAUUGAUUGUCCAUUUAGUCUGCCAAUGUUUGGGAUUGUGUGCAACAAUUAAUUGACAUUAAAUUUUGGGUGUAAUGGGAUCUCGUCUGCCGCUUAAAUAUCGGGUGUCUAGGCUGACACUCAGAGGUUAGAUGCGAUUGAUCAUGCAUACCAAAAAUCCUAAGGACUUGAUUAGACUGAUUUUCCCGUCUGAGAGUCCAACGAGCCCAGGUUGUCGAUUCCGUCUGACCUUGUGGGAGAGGGGAACCCUCUCACUUCUAGUGUCAGACGGAAUUCAUCUUGGUCCGAACGGAAUGAUUCCAAAAGGAUUUCAUGUCUAUCCUGAAUGACUAAGGGUCUUGAACUUGAGAGGGACAGGUGGAGGAAACCGCAAUCUCUACACUUGCGUGUCCAACAAAUUUUCAAUUUUAAUAACGUACAAGACAAUCAAGGAGAUGAAAAAAUUGAUGAAGCGUUUCUCAAACCAAUUUCAGACACAUACGGCAUGUGCAACUAGAUAUUUUAAUCCCAAAAAAUCAUGGCUCCUUUUGUCGUAUUCUUUUGUUUGAUGUAUGCAUAGGAUCGGACCACAUCUAUGUUAUUUUGAUUCCAAAUUUCAAAUAAAGACGAGAUUUCAUUACUAAAUUGUCAAGACCUUUGGGACCCAUAAACCUUUAUUCAAACAAUGAUAAAAGGCAAAUUUUUGUAUUGAUAUGGUUGUUACGAUCGAGGAAGACAACGAGAUUUCAAAGGAUGAGAGAGCACCCCAUGCAUCAAAAUGGCUUCUGGACCCACACUAUUUUAGUUCGUCAGUCAAAUCUCAAUAUAAUAGAGGGGGGACCUAAUGUUGUCGCUAUAAUUGACUCUUAUUUCGACGUCAUGUUUGUGCCUUAAAAUAACCCGGAUUCCUCAUUUACACACUGCGGGGAGGGGGAGAGUGAGAGGGACCUACCAACCAAAAAAUGGCGGCGGAAGUUCAGCUGAGCAGCAACAUGAGGAAAGCUCUCCUGGUUCUGAAUUGUGUGAUUCUCUCAAUUGGAAACUGCGGUGGUCCCUUGGUGAUGCGCCUGUAUUUCGUUCUUGGCGGCGAGAGAAUAUGGUUUUCCAGUUGGUUGGAAACGGUUGGGUGGCCCUUGAUCCUAGUCCCUCUCAUCAUCACUUACAUGCACCGCCGAACCAAGCAAGACUCCCAUGCCAAACUCUUCUUCAUGAAACCUCCUCUGUUCGUGGCCUCCGCUGUUAUCGGUGUCCUCACCGGAUUCGAUGACUACCUCUAUGCCUAUGGCGUAGCAAAACUGCCCGUUUCAACAUCAGCUCUCAUUGUCGCAAGCCAGCUCGCUUUCACAGCAGCCUUCGCGUUCCUCUUGGUGAAACAAAAGUUCACCUCAUACUCCGUAAAUGCCAUAUUUCUGUUGAGUAUCGGUGCCGGUGUCUUGGCUUUACACACUAGCUCCGACCGCCCUACUAAUGAGUCCAACAAAGAAUAUUACCUCGGGUUUGUCAUGACACUUGCAGCUGCAGCGCUCUAUGGUUUCAUUCUCCCCUUGGUUGAAUUAACCUACAAGAAAACAAAGCAGGCAAUAACCUACUCACUGGUCAUGGAGAUUCAAAUGGUGAUGUGCUUCUUCGCCACCGUCUUUUGCACAGUGGGGAUGUUGGUUAAUAAUGACUUUCAGGUGCAUUUCUCUUUUCUCUCCACUCAAUUACCCUAACAUAUUCAACCAGAUAGAAGAUUGAUAAUUUAUGUUUGCUUCUUCCUCAUUUAAUUUUGUAGGCAAUUUCCAGAGAAGCAAAAGAAUACGAGCUUGGAGAAGCUAAAUAUUAUCUGGUGGUGGUAUGGAAUGGGAUCAUAUGGCAGUGUUUCUUCUUAGUAUCAAUAGGAGUCAUCUUUAGCGCUUCAUCUUUGGUAUGCGGUAUUGUGAUUACUGUCCUACUCCCCGUGACAGAGAUCUUGGCUGUUAUUUUCUUCCGAGAAAAAUUUCAAGCAGAGAAGGGGGUUUCACUGGCUCUCUCUCUGUGGGGCUUUGUUUCCUACUUCUACGGCGAGAUAAAGGAUAGCAAGAAAAAGAAGAAUCCCACUUCCGAGACGGAGCUGCCUCAAACGGUCAAUCCAUGACAAACAAAUAUCUUUCUUAUUCCCCGGAAGGCAAGGGACAGGAUUACAUAUAAGCAUUUACCAGGUAAUUUAAAGAAAUACUUCGUCCGUAUGUUAACAGGCAGUUUAGCUGAUUCACCAAAUCUGUGUAAAGGAAAUGCUUGAAUUUCGUUCCUAAAUACAUGCUUGAAUAUUGAAUUUACUUGAAUUCUACAACCGCUGUGAGCGGAACAUGUUGAAAAUGAGAUCAUUUAAUUGUUCUAUAUAAGAUAAUUUCAAGAAUGAGCAAGUCUUGUUUUUUUAGUUUUCAAUUUUAGUGGUUUAUGAAAUCACAGAAAAAAGAUCAUGGGUGUUUUCAAAUUUAGAGUUUUUAUCUACCAUCAACUCAACAACCUCUGAUCCCAAUAACCACUUGCACUCAUUUGGAGGUAGGUGUCAACUACUCUCGUCAACUGCCACAGUAUCAAAUGAACCACAACAACUAUAUUUUCCAUAUUUUGUAGUGGAUGAUAUUGAUAUGAAGCGAAUAAGACGCGAGCUGCGCUCACAGGCUAGGACUUUAAUUGGUGAAGCCUCCCAACUCAUAUAGUCAACUCGCUCGAAAUUCAGUUGUUAAAGUUUUCUAAUAAAUAAAACAGUUAUUUUAAAAUAUAAAAAUUUAAAUUAUAUCAUAAAAUACUAAGGUAAAGAAAUUAGAAAAUACUAAAAUAUCAAUUCCAUAUAUAUCAAGCUUUCGAUUUUGAUCAUUAAAAGUAUAUAAUAAAAUUUAAGCCUGUGAAUAAUGAUUACUACUCAAAAAGUGUUAUUUGAUAGCCUGUAAUUAAUCCUUUUAAACACUUUUGAGUAGUAGUUUAGGCCUUUUAACUCAAUUGGCAUGUUAAGGAUCCUUUAAAGCAAUUUUGAUCACUUUGUGUAAGUUUUGGUGUUUUUGUUAGUAUUUUGAUCACCAAAACAAGUCAAGACUGAGGAGAGCUAUGAGGAAUCUUGGGUAAAGCUUAGAAGUCAUUUUCCAAGAGUGAAUCCGGAUUGCAAGGAGAAAAAGCAAAGAGAAUCUGCCAUAAAGCAUAUUCUUGAUGACAGUCGUAGCAGCCACUUUUAGAGCACUUUAUGAAGUCCAAAUGAUGCAUGCUAUAUACCAUUUUAAAGCUCAGGAAGUCAACAAUCCAAUGCUUCAAACGGUGUGCAAUUCGGAGUUGAAACGAAGAAGUUGCAGCCAUUACAAGCCAAUCACUCCGAGCUGAAGAAAACAUUUUGCAAAGUGCUGCGAAAUCACCCUUUUGUUGCGAAGUGAUUUCGCAGCAUUUUUGUACAGUAAGGUGUUUCUCCUUCUGACGAUGCACGAACCAUGCCGCGAGAAGGGAGCUGGGAACCUCAAGGUGGAAGCCAACUUCGCAGCCAUGUGAAGAUAGCUCGGUGUUGCGAAAUAAUUUCGCAGCCCUCUUGGGUGUCUGCGAAAUUUCGCAGACACCAUAUUUCUCCUGCGAAAUGGUUCCUGAAGCCUCCCGAAGCUUGCUACCGACAUUGGGAGAUAUUUUCCAUUAGAUUUUUGUUGUCUAAAUCCCAAAAUACUCCUUGUAAACCACCAAUUACAUGAUUCCUUAGUUUUUAAGUUAGUAAAAAGACUAAAUAUCUUUGUAACAAUUAGUUUUAUAUUAUGUUGAUAUAUAUACCUCUCGAGAGCCUGUUCUCAGGGAGGAGUUCCUUUUGUAAACCGUUUGGGUAAGCAAGUAAAGGUCUUUUUCUUUCUACUGCCUUACCUUCUCACUUUGUAUUUUCAGUUUAUUUCUAAGUUAUGAAUUCUCUGAGGAGUUUUCCCCAGAGAAUGAGUAACUAAACCUCUAAUUCCUUGGAGCUAAGGUUGCCGGGGAAGGUUCCAAGUGCAAGAAUGCAAAGCUUUGUGGUUUUAGCUAGUAAUGAAGAGGAAGUGAAAUCCUUUAGUGAUUUCUAUGUUUUUAGUUAACUUAAAACACCUUGGAGUUACCUGGGCCAACACUUGGUAAGGCAAGUGAUUUUCAACCAUGGAAAUGCACUAGUUUACCCCUUGCGAGCCUCUGGGAGGUGACUUCAGGGUAGGAUUUUCUAGAAUAGCCAACACUUGGUAAGCUUUUGGACUCCUAGGAGGCAUCCAUUAGUUAUCUCUUGCGAGCUUUUGACGGGUAAUCCAAGGUUAAAGAUCACCUUGAAUGGUUAAGGCUUAGUGAGAGGCUUAAACCAUUGCAAGUUGCAUCAGUGAGAGAAUUAAAGUGAAAUCUAAUUGAAGGAGUCUCUGUACAUCACCGGUUAGAGAAUUGACUAUGUGUUGAAUCUCUAAUGCGAGGAAAUGAACCAUCUGACCAAAGCCGUGUCUUUUGCAUGAGGAACCACCCCAGUGAACCUAAAUCUCUAAGGAAUGCUUUUCUUCCUAAAUUAUUCCAAACUUCUGUUAAGUUAGUUAGUUUAAGUCUCAACUUUUACCAAUCAAAGUUUGUGUUUUACUUCUUAAGCUAACCAUAAAAUGAAACAAGACCAAUUCACUUGGAAUUGGUAUCAUUGAUUGCUUGUUAGUCAUUCCCAGUGAACGACCCUAGAGCCACUAUACUAUAGUAGCUUUUUCUUUGCUACCCUAGUGUAUGGUGUUAUAGGUAAUAAAUUUUGUUGAUCACUUCCUCAAUCAAGGAGCACCAGCUGAACACCAAUCAGCUGAGACACCAAUUGAGCAUGAAUCAAAUAAGAUUACGAAUAUAUGGAUUCAAUAUAUAAACGAGUGGGAUGGAACAUGACUCAAAUGAAUAAGGCAUAAAAAAGACAAAUAAUAAUGAUGCCAGACUAUAUAUGUGAUAAUGAUGAUAGAUUGUAGAUGGAGAUGGAUUUCAUAUAAAAAUAAGGAUUUUAUAUUUAAAAUUCAUUUUUAAAGAAUAAAAUACAUUAAAAAACAGUUAAACAUAAAUCGAAGACUUUUUUACUUUAAAUUUCUCUCAAAAGGAAAUUUUAUAAAUAAAAUAAAUUUAUACGAGUAUUAAUCGACAAAAUUUCAAAUCAACAAUAAUUCUUGCAUUUGUAUCAAACUUUAAAAGAUGUAAGUGAAAUUAAUCCUAUUUUUGGAUUGUUAUUUAUAUCAAAUCUUCCCCAUCUUAAUUCCAACCCAAACCAAACUUGACAUGGAUUGGGUGGAACAACUUUAACAAAACUUCAAGUUGUCAUCUCUAAUGUUAGUUUGGAAUAGAAAAUAAAAAUGAAACAAUUUCAUUCUCCUCUAUUAAUGUAUCCAGACUAUUUAUUACGAUGAAAAUUAGAAUAAAAAGUUCAUUAGUAUAUAAACCAAAUCUGCCUAUGAAUAAAAAAACAGUAGAUAAAUACUCUAAGGUUACUUUGGAAUAGAGAAUAAGAAUGGAAGAAUUUCAUUCUUCUUUAUUAAUGGAUCCAGAUUGUUGUUUACAAUGAGAAUAAGAGAAUUAGAAUAAAAAUUUCGUUAGUAGGUAAACCAAAUCUGCCAAUGAAAAAAAAAGACCACAGAUAAAUCAAAUCUCACUUUUACAAUAAUUUUGAUUCAUUCUUUUGUACAUGAUAGUGUGAUUCACUUUCAUUCUCUUUCUAUUCCACUUUUCUACUUUUCCACCUACCACUCAUCCUAGUCGUAAUGUGAUUAUUGUGUCUCGUAUCUUUGGUAAAGAGAACCAACCGACUAUAUCUCAACAAAGCGUCCAUCAUUUAUGCCAUGCAGCGUACAUCAUGCGAAAGAGCCAAUGAGCGUUUCACAUAUGGUAUAGCAAAACUGCCCAUUUCAACAUCUGCUCUCAUUAUCGCAAGCCAGCUCGCUUUCACAGCAGCCUUUGCAUUCCUCUUGGUGAAACAAAAGUUUACUUCAUACUUCGUAAAUGCCAUAUUUCUUUUGAGUAUCGGUGCUGGUGUCUUGGCUCUACACAAUAGCUCUGACUACCCCGCCAACGAAUCUAACAAAGAAUAUUAUCUCGGGUUUUUCAUGAUACUAGCAGCUGCAACGCUCUAUGGUUUCAUUUUCCCGUUGGUUGAAUUAACCUACAAGAAAGCAAAGCAGGCAAUAACCUACUCACUGGUCAUGGAGAUUCAAAUGGUGAUGUGCUUCUUCGCCACCGUCUUUUGCACAGUGGGGAUUGUUGAUGCCUCGCGUCCCAGGGAUCCACACAGCUGCCAAGUGGACGCGCGCUUUCAACCAAGAAUGAAUUCUGGCUCAGUCGAUCCUGCAAAAGAUGUCCGGACACAUCCUCCGAUGGUUUUGUUAGUCAUGGCUCAAUGGAUCAGGCUGUUGCCCUUUUUUCUGAGUUAGCUGACUUACCUUCUUCUUUGCAUGAAGGUUCUUUUAUAUAGUGUCAGAAGCUCCGCUCCCCUCUUUAAUGGCGGGAAGACUUUUUGGCUUGUCAUGAUGUCCCUGAGGUGAUGGCAGAAUCAUCAUCACCUUCCAAACGGCUGUUAGAAAUCGUGGGAGGUGACUUGUCAUCACUCCUGUCCUUUCGCUCUACAGGCGGCGAAACGUGGGCUAUGACAGGUUGUCUGGGGUGACUCAGCAUGGCUUACUUUUUAUGGUCAAUGAUCCGGACAAUGUAUUCGGAUAGAAUAGAGCACAGUCCGGGUAUAAUAUUUGAGAGUGUCGUGUGUCUCCUUGAGGGACCUGGAUAGAGCUGGCGUGCCAUGUGGACUCUGAGGGGGUCCCUACAAUGCCCCCCUUUUAACCUGGCGAUUUUGUCCUGGCAGAAUGGGUAGGUUAAAAAAAAUGAUGACUUUGAAAGUUUGGUUGUUUUUUGCGUUUAUUGUGCCAUGUGGCGGUGCGGAGGCGAAAAGAAGGAAGAGCAUUUAUGGCGAGCCGCCAUCCUUGGGAAUUCCUAUGCGGCAUGUCGUUUCAAUAGCAGCGUGGCUGGGAGUUUGGAAUACCGAGGGGUUGUCUCCCUUUAAAUAGUAGACCCAGCCCCCACAACUGCAUUUCUUCCUUCUGCAUUUCUGUUGCUAGUGUUUUCGUUUAGGUUCUUUGUGUAUUCUUGCCUGUGAGUGAAGUUCUAGGGCUUUUGCUAGCGACAUUCGCGUCGUGAGGGUGACUGCAUCGCGGCCUUCGUCCUCAUUUGCCAGUUUGCACCAGGUACGUUCUCUAUUUCUACCUUCUCUCCAUUGGGUUUCUUUUUUAUUUUAUCUUGCUUGUUAGGUAGGUUGCUUGCGAUUGAGGGUCGGUGCUGGUGUUUAGGGAUUUUUCCGGGGGGGGGGGGGGGGGGNNNNNNNNNNNNNNNNNNNNNNNNNNNNNNNNNNNNNNNNNNNNNNNNNNNNNNNNNNNNNNNNNNNNNNNNNNNNNNNNNNNNNNNNNNNNNNNNNNNNUUUGGGGUUUUUCCAAGCCACUUUCGGUUGGGGGGGGGGAGUGCUUGGGGCCUUUCUCCUUUUUUUCCCGUUUUCCCCCGGGACCUUUUUUUUUUUCUCCUUUUUCCCCAGGGGUUUUUUUUUUUUUUUUUUUUUCUUUUUUGGGUGGUUGUUUGGGGUUGGGGGGGGGGGGUGGGUUUUUGGGAUUUUUCCGGGGGGGGGGGGGGGGGGGGGUUUGCUUUCGUUUUGGGCCUGUUGGGGUUCCUGUUGCCCCCUAUAGCCUUUGCGGGUGACUGGUCCUACUUUGGGGUAGAGUCAAGGGUUAGGUUGGGGAUGUUGGCUAUUUUAGGCUUUCUGGGCGUUUUUUGCUAUUAGGGUUAUGGGGCCGGGUCCUUCUAUUUUACUGUUGGCAUUUCGCCAUGCAGGUUCCGUUUCGGCCCCAUACUUUAAAAUGCCUGCGAAAAAGGACGUAGCUUCGUCCAGUGCGGUUGGGCCCAGCGGAAAGAAUGCGUCCGGGGUGGUCUAUGCGGAGAAGCCUGUUGACAAGCUGAACGUGAGGCAGUUUUGUGAACGCUUCUGCAUUCCGAACGGCGUAUCCGUUCAGCUUGUGGACGGAGAGGUCGUAUCCACCGAGAAAUCUGUGGACAACGCUAUCUAUUUCUCUAAGGAGCAAUUCAACGCGGGGCUUCGGUUCUUUCUCCCGUCUCUCUUCAAAGAGUUUCUUCACUUCACCAAGAUCCCUCCGGCCUACAUCCAUCCCAACAUAGUCCGGGUGUUGAUGGGGUGCAGCAUUUUGAACAUGUUGUUCAACUUGGAUCUUUUGCUGCUGGGGGUCCAUUUCAUCUACUCCAUCAAGAAGGGGAAAACUGACCUCUUCAACUUGUUUACCCAUAUCCCGUCCCUCCAAUUGGUGACUAAUCUCCCAGAUUCGAUGAAGGGGAGAGCCAAAGGACAUGUACUAGUCAAGGGUGUUUAGGCUGGACUGUCGGAACAUCCGGAGAGAUUGUUUUCCCUAAAUCGUUCACUGGCGCUCCCGGGGUAGGGUAGAUUUUCGAGUUUGUCCGGCGUGCAUUUCUUGUUCUUUUACUUUCGUGUUAUCAGAUGGCUAACUUUUUUGGUUGUGGGCAACGUAGGUAAGUCCAAGAGGGACCGCCUAGUCGAGUGGGUGGAGAAAGCCUCUUUUGAUCGCUUGAACAAGCUGUUCGAGAUUACUGCUACUAAGAGGCAUUAUCAGACGUUGCUCACUACUCGGAACCUGUUGGCAGUUGUCCGGGAGCCUCACCCGUACGUCACCAACAUUCUCCCUAGGCGAUUGCCAAAACGUGUAGUGUCUUGGGAGCAUUUUGUGUUGAAAGAUUUGCCCUUCUACGAGAGGGCUCGCAAGGCUAACACAAAGGCGCGCCAGGAGCGCCUUAACCAGCAAGAGGAGAAGAGGCAGAAGGGGACAUUGAGGAAAGCACCUGGUGAGAAGGGGCGCGACUCUUCCCCAGCCGCCUUCCCCCGGCCACAAAAGAAAAGAAGAAGACGAAGAAGACUCGUGCGCAGGUGCUCUAGAUAGUGGCCCCAACUCUUGAGGCUUCGUCUUCGUCUUGCAGGUCCGAGCCCAAUCAGCCGGACCACACUAUUCCGGAGUCUAAGGAGGUUGAGGAACCUGAGGCCAUCACCAGUUCGCCACAGCUUGAAACCUUCCAUCCGGGGCCUAGCUUUCCCCAGCCGCAGUCGGAGUUUGUUGGCUUGAGGGUCGUGGAUGAGCCAGAGGAAAUGAGAGAUGCAAACGACCUUAGGGCGGGGCUUUUGCAAAGACAUCGACCUUGGCCCCCCCAGUUAAGAAAGUUUGUCCGGAGCAGGGUGGAGAGGACCCGACGCCAGAAUUUUGGCUUCAGCUGUGACUCGUCCAGACGAGGUGGGUAUUAGCGCAACUUCCACGGCUCAGCCGGAUGCCGCAGGGUCUAGCGCGGCGGCAACGGUUCAGGCCAACGCUUCGGGGCCUAGCUCAACGACUGCUGCUCAAUCGAGUACAACUGCCUUCGGCAAUGCCCCGACUGCUGUGGAGACCCAUGCGUCAGAGGGGGUUCCGGAUGCGUCGAACGACGAGAAGGCUUCGGACGAAAAGAGCAGUCCUGCUGUUGCAGUUCCUCCAAGCUAGGAGGAAAUGAUGGAGAUGCUGAAAGGAGUGCCAUGCUUCACGGAUGUAGAGACGCCUUCCACGAGGAUGUCAGACUUCUUCCCUUUGACCAAACGUGUCUCUGUGAACAUGGGUGGGGACCCUCCUGCUUUUGUCAAGGCGCGGCUCCCUUUUGGCGCUCCUGAGUCCAUCGUAUCUUGCAUUCAACACCUAUAGGAAUGGACGAUUCCAGAGACUGUAGAAGUGGUAAAUACUUCUUUGCUGUUUUUCUCUUCUUUCUUAGCAGUUGCUACUUUUCCAUGUAACAUUGUCUGUUGUUUUGUUGUUGCUUUGCCCAUGUUGUAGCCGGCAUCCACUACAUGAUGUGCACACGCGAGCAGCUUUUCAAGCGGCUGGAAUUGGUGGAGGCCAUGCAUGCCUUUAUCUCCCAACAUCCGGGUGGCAUCGAGGAGCUGCGCGCCAAGUUGGAGAAGGUGGAGGCCGAAUUGGCCGCUGCUCGGAAAGCUGUGGCGGAUGGGACGGAGCAACUAGGUCGGGUUGAAGGGGAUAAGGAGACUAUCCGGGCCGAGGCUGACAUCCUGAAGAAAGAAAAGCAAGCCUUGGAGGGCUAAGUCAAUGCAGCUGGGCAGGAGAACCUCCAGUUGAAGAGAGAGACGGAUGAACUCCUGGAUAGCCUUGCCGCCCAGAAGAAGGAGUCAGAGGAUUUGCGGGAGGGUCUGGCGGCUCAAAAGGAGAAAAUGGAGGCUAGGUUCGCCGCUCAGAAGAAGGAGAUGGAGGAGGAAUACCAGAAGCAGGCAGACGAGAUGUAUUUCUUUGGCUACCGUUGUUGUAUGAAGAAACACGGAAUUAUGCAUGAUAUUCCUUCUUUCCUUUCUGAUGAGGAAGAUACAACACCUGGGGGUCCGUCCAGCUGAAACUUCCUUCUGUACAGACUUUAUAAUUUUUCCUCUUUGUUUUGCUGCACAUGGGGCAGUUAUUUUUGUAAAGACACUUUUUACUUAUUUAUAAAUACAUUACAUUUCUUCUGUUUUUUGCUUACUCCUCAUUUCCUUUCAUUGAUAAUACUGCUUAAGAUUGGAUACAUUUCAUGGACGGAGCAGCGAGGUUCCAUCUAGCUUCUAUAGAUGAUAGACUCCACUUUCACUUGUCUUGGACACAAUGUAAGGGUCUUCCCAAUUUGCUUGGAAUUUUCCUGCUCCCUUUUCAGCAGUGUUCUUGAAAACCUUUAUGAGGACCAACGUUCCACCUUUGAAGCUCUUGGGUCGUGCCUUGCGUUUGUAGUGAGCUGCCGCCCUUUGUAGGUAGUCGGUCAUUCGAAUGGAUGCGUUCUCUCUCACUUCAUCCACCCAGUCCAAAUUUCUUCCUAGUUCCACAUUUGCAUCACCCUGUCGUCCUACCUCAAUCCGGAUAGUGGGUAGGCCUAUUUCUGUAGGGAUGACUACAUCCAUACCGUAUGCGAGGGCGAAGGGAGUGUUUCCUGUUGGUCACCCGGGUGUGCUUCGAUAGGCCCAUAGGACGCCGGGUAACUCCUCUACCCACUUCCAUUUGGCUUGCCCGAGCCUCUUCUUUAAGGUAGUUACCAGGGUUUUGUUUUUGCCUCUGCCUGUCCAUUGCUUUGAGGAUAAUGUGGUGUGGAGUAUAAAUUCCAGAUGUUAAGUUCCGAACAGAAAUUCCAGAAAGUGAUGCUAUCAAACUGCGGGUCGUUAUCAGCUAUAAUGGUUUGAGGGAUUCCAAAGCGACAGAUGAUGUUCUUCCAUACGAACUUGGUGAUGUCUUUGUCCUUGAUGCUAGCGUAUGCUUCAUCUUCUACCCAUUUACUGAAGUAAUCUGUGGUGACGAGUAGAAAUUUCUUCUAGGCAACUGCGGCUGGUAGGGGUCUUACUAUGUCCAUCCCCCAUUGCGCGAAGGGUCAGAGGCUAGAAAUUAGUUUUAAUGUCUCAGAUGGUGCAUGCGGUAUGAGGGCAUGCCUCUGGCAUUUGUCACACUUCUUGACAUAAGCUGCCGCAUCUUUCUCAUCGUGGGCCAAUAAUAUCCUUGCGAGUGGGCCUGAUGAGCUAGAGAUCGACCUCUAGAAUGAUUGUCGCACACACCCUCAUGUAACUCAUCCAAUACAUACAAGGCUUCCGAGUGAUCCAGGCACCUAAGGUAGGGGCCUGUGAAGGAUCGCUUGUAGAGGUGCCCCCCGAUUAGGGUGAAACGGGCGGCUUGUACUCAGAUCUUAUGUGCCUGCCUGGGUUCUUCGGGCAAAGUUCCUAUUCGGAGAUACCUUAUUAUGACUUUCGUCCAUUCUUAGCCGUCUGUUUGGCUCGCCUCAAUAGUAUUGCAAGUGGAGGCUUCUGUGAUGGAGGGGUCAGUUUGCACGUGUAUGGGCAAUAAUAUGGCCUCUUUGAUGGGGAGGGAAACGGCUAUCCCUGCCAGGGUGUCGGCACGUCCAUUAUCAGCUCAUGGAAUUUUUUUCGAUUGUUCAUUCGACAAACCGUUGCAGGGUGUCUCUUACUUUAGUCAGAUAUCGCGCCAUGCGUUCAUCUUUGGCUUCGUAUUCCUCCUGGACGUGUCUUACCACGAGUUGGGAAUCACUGUAGAUUCGAAGCUUGGAGACAGAUAAGGCCAAGGCAAGAUCUAAUCCGAAUAGGAUGGCUUAAUAUUCUAUUUCAUUGUUAGACGCGAGGAAUCCCAGUCGAAUAGCUUGCUCUAGCUGUUCUCCCGUUGGGGAUUGCAGUAGGAGCCCUACUCCGGAUCCUGAUGACCGAGAGGCUUCAUCAACCCGCAAGGUCCACCACUCUUCUUCGCAUGGUUCUUUGCGUUGAGCAGGUUUUUGAGAGUAUUUUAGCAUGAAGUCAGCCAUUACCUGCCCUUUCAUGGACAAUCUCGGUUGGUAUUCAAUUUCGUACUCGCUCAACUCUAUGGCCCAUUGAAGCAUUCUUCCGGUCAGGUCCGGCUUGUGCAGGAUGUUGCGAAGGGGCUGGUCGAUCAGCACGACCACUGGGUGGGCUUGGAAGUAAGGGCGGAGCUUCUAGGCGGCACUUCGAAUGGCCAAAGCUGUUUGCUCCAUCUUUGAGUACCUUGUUUCUACGUCAGUCAAUGCCCUGCUAACAUAAUAAAUAGGUUUUUGCUCCUUAUGCGAGGGGCAGUGGAAUAAAACAGCACUAAUUGCCCACUCUGAUACAGCCAGAUACAUAUACAAUUUUUCUCCAGGGAGGGGGCUGCUUAGAAUGGGUAGUUGUAUGAGGUAGUGCUUGAUUUUCUCGAAAACGCUCUGGCAGCUGUUCGUCUACCCGUUCGCAUCGGCUUUUCGUAUUGCCAAGAAGAAGAGUCGCAAUUCAUCAGUGAAGCGGGCUAUGAAACGCCCUAGUGCGACAAGCUUGCUUGUGAGGCGAUGUAAUUCAUUUUUGCUCCUAGGGGGUGGUGUUUCCAUGACUACCUUAACUUGAUCCCUCUUUGGCUGACCAUGAACCUUAGGAAUUUUCCAGCACUUACGCCGAAAGCGCAUUUGGACGGAUUCAGUUUCAUGUCAUACUUCCUUAAGAUGUGGAAGACUUCUUGUAAGUGAAAGGCAUGUUCACUUCGGGUUUUGCUCUUAACCACGAUAUCAUCGAUGUAUAUCUCCACUGUGCGGCCAACUAGAGGUUUGAAGAUCUUCGUCAUCAAUCUCUAAUAGGUGGCGCCAUCGUUUUUAAGUCCGAAUGGCAUGACUUUAUAACAAUAAAGCUCAUGCAGCGUUAUAAAGGCUGUCUUUUCUUCGUCGACCGGAGCUAUGGGGAUUUGGUGGUACCCGGAGAAGGCAUCCAAGAAGGAGAGCAUUCCCUAUCCGGCGGUGGAGUCUACGAUCUGGUCUAUCCGUGGUAGAGGGAAACUGUCUUUUGGGCAUGCGUUGUUGAGGUUGGUGUAAUCGACGCACACUCGCCAUUUGCCUUCUUUUUUGGGGACCACUACUACAUUUGCUAACCAGUCCGGAUACUCCACUUCUCUAAUAAAUCCGACCUCCAGCAAUUUGUCAAUCUCAUCCUGGAUAAUUUUUUGCCUGUCUGGGUGAAAAUGUCUAACCCUCUGUCGGACAAGUCUUGUUGUUGGCAAGACGUUAAGCCUAUGAGAGGUGAUUGAAGGGUGGUUCCCUUCAUGUCAAAAUGCGGCCAUGCAAAGACGUCAUGGCUUUGUCGGAGGGCGUCGUGGAUGUCUUGUGCUUCUUCGGGUGUCAAGAGGGAACUGAUAUGUGUGAGGUGAGUACUUUCUUCCGAUAUCUUGAUUGUCUGCAAGGGAUUCACUGCCGAGGGAUCUUUGUCCUCCGGAUUCAGUAAUUGUUAUUGGUCAAGUGCGCUGGUGGGUUCAGGGAGGGGCUCGUCGCCCUUGCUGAUCCCACCUUCUAGCACUAUCUGAUAGCACUGGCGGGCAGCCAACUGGCUACCGUAUAGAUUGGUUUGUCCAUCUUUAGUAAGAAAGCUCACCAUCUGAUGGUACGUGGAAGGGAUUGCUUUCAUAUAGUACAACCACGCGCGUCCUAAGAUGACGUUGAAGGGGGACAAAUCUCCUACCACUGAAAAUUGUACGUUAAGGGUGACUUGGACUGGCAGCACAAUGUCUCCAAGGGAGGUGGUUGCUACGCCAUUAAAUCCCAACAAGACCCACCCAGGAUUUUCUAAGUCGGAUAGUUCGAGACCCAUUUGAUUAACUACUGAUGCCUGCAAAAGAUCGAUCGAGCUUCCUGGGUUGAUUAGGAUCUAUCUUACAUCAAAGUCUCCCAUCACCAGAGAUAGGAUGAGGGCGUCACGGUGCGGUUGUAGUAUUCGCGUGGGAUCUACGGGAGGAAAAAUGAUUGUCCCAUCUACUGGCUGGGCACUUCCCUCAGUUGCUCCGGUCUAAAUGGUAUUGACGCGCUCGCGUACCGAUGUCGCCCGCAGCAACUUCUGCCUCUUUCUUUUGGAGUUGUACUCCUCAUCCAGAGGUCCUCCAUGAAUAUAAUUGAUGAUGGCUUUGGGGGAGAUUGGGGUCCUGAGGGACCCGGAAUCGCGAUUUCGGGGGGUAUCUCUACCUCUGGCAUCUGAGCAGAGGUAUUGCUUCAAAUGUCCCACUUUUAUGGGCCUUUCCACCAAAUACUGGAGACUCCUGCACGUCUUCAUAGUGUGACCAUGCUCCUUAUGGUAGGCACACUUCUGGCAAUGAUCUCUUUUGGCUGGGUCCGUUCUGAGGGGUCCGGGCCACCUGAAGCCGGACAGGUCCUGGAUCAUAGGGAGGAGUUUCUCAUAUGAUAUGGAAAGGGGUGUGAGUGGUGGCAGUUCUGGGCGACUGGGCUCUCCCUGCCUUCGUUCGGACGGCCUUGACCGGUCUAGAAGUUUGGAACUUCUUUCCGCACCGGUUCUGUAUGUCUGCCCAGCAACCAAAAUUUGUUGGGUGGCCGCACGCACGUCGUCUUCCAGCAUUGAGUAUUUGCUCGCGCGCCGGAACAGGUCAUCCAUUGUCGUGGGAGGCUUCUUAGCGAGCGACUUGAAGAAUGGAGUGCCUGGGCAUAUGCUUCGUUUGAAGAUCUGAAGGACAACAUCCAUGCUAUAAGCCUCUACUUGUAACACAGCUUGACCGAACCGUUUCACUAAUUCUCUCAAAGACUCAUUCUCCUGCAUUUUUAUGUUUUGCAGAGUGCUGAUGUUCUGUUUAUGCCGAGCGGAACACAAGUAUUGCCCCACAAAAGCUUCCGACAGGUCCCUGAAGUUAUCAACAGAGUUCGGGGGUAGUCGGUGAAACCAUGAGAGAGCCUGACCUUGUAGGCUGGUGGGGAAUACUUUGCAUAGCAACGCGUCGUUUCCUAUAUCGAGAGUCAUGAGUUGUCGAUAAUGCAUGAUAUGGUCGAAGGGAUCGCUGGACCCAUCAUACGUGGAAAAUUUUGGUACGAGAAAUCUCCUUGGGGAGUCGUAAUGAAUAAUAUGUGAGCAAAAAGGCAUGGAAAGCAUGUCAUCCAGCCUCUUGCUGAUGGAGCCAGUGGGUGGCUCAUUUGGAGAGUUUCUUCCAGCUUGUCGUACCGCUUGGUGCGGGAGGAUGUUCUACACAACGAGUGCGAUCAAAGGGUUAGGGUACGCUUCCCAAGUUGUGGCCACUGGUGGCCUUAUCUUCCCAGGCUCCUGUGGGCCUAGCCUUGCGCGCAUCGCGUCCGACAGUUGGGGUCUCUUGUCGCGUUGUCUCUUUGAUGAGAGAUGAGUAGAAUCUAAGCUUUCAUCCUGGGGAGCUUGGUGCAUGGGCGUGGGCCGUUCUUGAGGUUGAUUAUUGCACCUCAGGAAUGACCCCCGCAAUCCCAAGAUAUAUCGAUUCUGGAUCAGGCCUCGAAUUUGCUCCCUGGCCUCUUGAGCGCUGGCCAUGAGAAGGCCCCGUCGAUGAAGCCUGGAUGCGUAACACAGUGUUUUCUUCUCUCAAUCUCGUUGUUUCUUGGAGGAGAGCCUGCAUUUGUCGCUUACUCUCCAACUUUCGUCUUUCCAUGGCUUCACGCCAUUCGAAAUAACCUUCACCUCCUCUAGCCGACGAGUGGCUCCUAGAAGGUGUGGACAUCUUCGCCGUCGACUGAGCAAAGUGUUCCCACAGACGGCGCCAAUGUUGAUGCCUUGCGUCCCAAGGAUCCACGCAGCUGCCAAGUGGACGGCGCUUUCAACCAAGAAUGAAUUCUGGCUCAGUCGAUCCUACAAAAGAUGUCCGGACACACCCUUCGAUGGUUUUGUUAGCCAUGGCUCAAUGGAUCAGGCUGUUGCCCUUUUUUCUGAGUUAGUUGGCCUACCUUCUUCUUUGCGUGAAGGUUCUUUUAUAUAGUGUCAGAAGCUCUGCUCCCCUCUUUAAUGGCGGGAAGACUUUUUGGCUUGUCAUGAUGUCUCUGAGGUGAUGGCAGAAUCAUCAUCACCUCCCAGGAGGCUGUCAAAAAUCGUGGGAGGUGACUUGCCAUCACUCCUGUCCUUUCGCUCUGCAGACGAUGAAACAUGGGCUGUGAUUUUAGUUAUCUCCGUCGGUGAAGCUUGAGGAGGAAAAAACAAAACACAAGGUCAUUUCGAUACUCUACGUACUCUUUAGGCUUUACCUGGACAUUAAGAAGAUAAUCAAAGAUUCCAAAGCAGAAUAUGACGAGAGGGAGGUUUGUGGUUUGGUACGUAUUGUAGCUUCAGAUUUGGUCUGUCCCAUAGAGUAAAAGUGAUGGUCCCCAGUUUAAAGCAACGAGGUAAUUUUAUCAUUGAAUUUGCUAGAUUUAGAAGGAUUCAUCGUUUCAAUAUGAUGCCACUUAUUAAUUGUUUCCCGGUAUUCCAGACAUGCUCUUGCUUACAACUCCAAGACAAACGCAUCUCUUUAGAGGCACUGUCCUUGAGAAAUGGUGAUGUUCCUCCAAGCUGUGAGAAAAUCCAAGGGGUUUUUCCCGAGGAUUCUCAAUGUGUGGCCCCGUUGGGUUGAACUGUCCGGGUUAGAAGGUGGAGUGGACUGGGUUGGCUCAACCAUCUCGGAAUAUGGAUUCUGCGUCAAGGGUUCGGCUGCAUCAUGUUGGAGAUGGACUGAUUGGCCCAUGUUUUUGUAAGGGAGUCGAAUCUCAGAGACUGGGCCUAGAUUGAGAAAUUGCAACCAUGCAAUAAAGCCCGUGUGACGUGCUCUUGGAGAUCAAAACAUGAUCCGUAUAACAAACAACCUACUGCCGACCUACACCACAGAUCGUGGUGCUGGCCACCCGUACGGUCUAGAGACCACAUGUACAAGCUCAUGACGCUAUUCCUUCCUAUCACCAAUUUGGAAAUGGCCCACCUAAGAAACAUGUAGCCAUGAUCAAACGGGAAUCCCAUGAUGAGAAAUUGUAGAGAAGAGUUAAAAAUAAAAAAUAAAAAGAAGAAAAAAGAAAGGUCAAUACCACUCGAUCAGGUUCCAGAAAAGGGCAUGUGGAAUAAGAAAUUAAUGCACUGAACGCGAACCAUGGCAGUCCCUCUAUGACAACACCAGUUAAUAGUCGUGUUGUGUCCCCACCUUCUGGAAAUGCCAUCCCUCCCACCAAAUCUCGGUAAUCAAAAUAAAAUGGGUUAUUAUCUUCAACUGCUUGCGUGCCCAAAUCAAUCACGUUUCCGAUAAGCAGUAUAGUUAGUUCUCUCAUUAACAUUUCUUCAGGAUCAAGGAUAUUAUUGAUUUUCAUUGACUUGCUCCUAUUUUGCAUUGGUUGAUGGAGAUAAACACACACAUAUUAAUCCUGAUCUUAAAAAUUGGUAUUAAAUCUGUUCAAGGAACCUAGUCAAGGAAAGCAUAAUCUUGAUUGAAACCUUGCACGCACAGCAUUGUCCACUUGUGGUUUAGCCUGGAUGCUUCUGAAAGCAUCAUGAAUGGAUUCCGAGACUUGUGGUUUAUGCCUGCAUGUUUCUGAAAGCAUCGUGGAUAGGUUCCAAGACCUCAUCAUUACUAGUUUCCCACCCCAAAAUUCCAAGAAGCCACCAAAAUACUCCUUUGAAUGGCUGCACAGGAUUUACACACUAGAAGAAGCCAAAAAAAUGAGACCCUUGGCUGAAGCAUAAUUGGACCCUUGUAAGUCUUUUACUAGAAGAAGCCAAAAAAAUGGGACCCUUUGGCUGAAGCAUAAUUGGACCUUUGUAAGUCUCUUAAUAGAAGAAGCCAAAACAAUGGGACCCCUUGGCUGAAGCAUAAUUGGGACUCUUCAGGCACAUACGGCAUGUGCAAAUAUCUAGAUAUUUUAAUCCCAAGUAAAAUGAUGCUCCUUUUUUCGUAUUCUUUUGUUUGACGUAUGCAUCAGGAUCGGACCGCAUCUAUGUUAUUUUUUAUUCCAAAUUUCAAAUAAAGACGAGACUUCGCUACAAAAUUGUCAACGCCUUUGGGACCCAUAAACCUUUUCUCAAACAAUGAUUAAAGGCAAAUUUUUGUAUUGAUAUAAUGCAACUAGCCAACCAUAUGGGUGUAAGGAUGAGCAUGCAAUCCCAUCAAAAUGGCUUCUGGACCCACACUAUCUUAGUUCGUGGCAGUCAAAUCGCAAUAUAAUAGACGGGGAGUGUUAGAUUUUCUUAAUGAGGUCCAGAAGUCUUGUCCAUAAUCUUUAGGAAUAAUACUAGACUUUGUCAAAUGGGUCUAAAAAUCUAACCCAUAAUAUUUUGACAUUUCCGUCUAUGUAAUCAUGGUUAGGUCCCUAAUUCUUUAACCUCUAUUCACACACAUGUAUCAUCGUUUAAGAUUGAUUAAAAGUUUAAAAACAUCACAACUUAUUUCAAUAUCAAAUUUGAUUUUCGAAUUCCUGAACUAUCAACUAUAGAAAAUAUGUUUUGAUUCUUCAUUUAUUUUUAUAUUUAAUAUAUGUCAUUAAGGUUUUAAGCAUAUUUAGAUUGAUUUUAACACUUAUAAUUGGUAUUAAAACCAUUUUAUUGUCUCUACCUUAAUUAUGUGCAACCUAAAAAAAUUGAUUAUGUGCCUUAAUUAUUUUCUUUUAAUCCUUAUGGUAAAAAAAAUUUCUUACGAAUUUGGAAGAAAACUGUUUGUAUUAUGCUUUUGAAAGAUGAAGAAGUCAAGUUUUGGGCAUGAAAAAUGAGGGCUAUUAAUAUCCAAUCGAUCCCUACCUCCCCUUACAACUUUUACAGUGCAAUGGCCUAGCUAUACCCCUAUUGAUGGGAGCAAGUUGUAGAGUUAUGAUUGUAUGUUGUCCAUAUUAUAGAGAUUUUGAUAUAGUGGUUUAUAGUUUUGAAUCAUUCUUUACAACUUGUAACAAUUGUAUCAUUAUUCCUUUUAAGAGAAAAGGGGUAUAUAGUGGUUAAUAUGUCCUUGUCAACACCCUUUAAAAUCAAAUCCCACAUUUUCUUCAUAAAGUAAUAUAGAUUAGGUACGAACUUCCAGUUUUUAAAUCUGGAAAGCUAUCAAAAAUUAGACAUUUAUACCAAUAAAAAAUAUGAAAAUUUUCCAGAAAUUUAAAAUUUUGGAUAUUUUGUGAAAAUUUCAUAAAUUUGGUAUUUUUGUGAAAAAAAAAAAUCAUAUUUUUGGUGUUUUUAUGAAAAAUACAUAAAUUUGGCAUUUUAUGAAAACCAUUUUGUGGAAUUAAAAUUUGGAUAUUUAUGUGCUUAAAAUCAUGUCUUUUUUGUAUGUAUAAUUUAUUGUUUUCAUUAUAUAUGUAAUUUGAAUUUUUACUAUAUAAAUUUAAACAGUGUUCAUAUAUGUAAAUAUUGCUUAUGGUUGCAUGCAAUUUAUAUAAACAGUUUUGUGAAUAAAAUUAAAUAUCUAUUGAUCUAUAUAAUUUUAAUUAAUUAGGGAUUAGCCACAACAUCUUUAAUUAUGUAAAAUUAUAUAUUAAGUACUUUAGGAUCACAUAUAUAAAAAUGACAUUGAUUGUAAUUAAUCAUAUUUAAAUAUAAUAAAUUUUAUCCUUUAUCAUAUUUGUAUUAUUAAUAAUGAUAGAAUAUCAAAUUAUAUUCUUAAUUUACCUAUAGGAAUUAGGAAAGGAACAUAAUUGAUAGUUUUAUCAUAAAGUUAGAUGAAUCUAAUUGAAUUAGAACUUUAGUACACAUACAAGUUUUAUGUCACUACUUCAUAUUUUUGAAACAUGAUUUAUAUUGGUAAAACAUGAUAUAUAUUUAUUAACCUCAAAUUACUAUUAUAUAAGCAUGUAUGUUUAAUAUUUAUGCAGUUAUGCAAUCUGUGAAUUUUUCCGAUAUAAGAUGUGAUAUUCUUGAACUAAAGGGUGACAACUACAAAGUAUGAAAGGAAAGAAUUCUCUUUCAUUUGAGGUAGAUGGACAUUGAUUAUGUUAUUAGGAAAGACGAACCAAGCAUUACCACAACUAGCACUGUAGAUGAAAAGGCUCUUUAUAAAUGAUGGGUGUGAUCCAAUUGCCUUAGUGUGAUGUUCAUAAAAAACAAAAUCUCUACUGGUAUUCAAUGUUCAGUUGAUCAACAUGAUAAAGUUAAGGCAUUAUUAAAGGCUACUGAUGAACAAUUUCAAACUUCAGAUGAGACACUUGCCAGUACCUUGAUUAUGAAGUUUUCAUCCUUAAGGCUCACCAGUGUAAGAAGUGUAUGUGAACACAUCAUGCAAAUGAGGGACAUUGUAACUCAACUAAAAACUCUUGAGGUUGAAAUGUUUGAAUCUUUCCUUGUGCACUACAUACUGAACACUUUUCCACAACAACUUCUGACCAUGUGUGUUCAAGAGGUAUGGAGGUUGGUAAUGGAAAUUGGUGAGAAUGCAUUAUUCGCAAAACAAGGAAAUAACCAAAACCAAGCCAAAAAAAAAAAAAAAAAAGGAAAGGUAAAAUACUGCCCCAAUGAGAAAUAAAAAAAGAAUCCAAGUGCUUCAUCUGCAAAAAGAAAGGACACAUGAAGAAAAAUUGCUCCAAAUUUCAUAAAUGACUUGAGAAAAAAGGUAAACCAAUCUCAUUUGUUUGUUAUGAAUCUAAUAUGGUUGAUGUUAAGCAUGACACAUUGUGGAUUGAUUCUAGUUCUACAAUCCAUAUUUCAAAUACCUUGUAGGGUACACAAAACCUAAGGAAGCUAGUGGGAAGUGAGUAGUGCAUCUAUUCAAGAAACAAGAUGCAUUCAUAUGUAAAAGCUCUUGGAACAUGCACUUUAGUUUUAAGUAGUGGUUUUGUUCUAAAUUUGGAAAAGACAUUUUACAUUCCAAGUUUUUCUAAGAAUUUGAUUUCAGUUUCAAGACUUGUUCCUUUUGGUUAGUCCUUUUAACUUUUCAAAAACAUCAUUUAGUUUAUUUUAUAAAUCUAAUCUUGUUGGGAAUGGUACAUUGUCUAAUAGUCUUUUCUUUAUUAAUUUGCAAAAUGAUACUACUCAUAAUGUUAUGCAUCUUCACACUGGUGUUAAACGAUGUGUUAUGAAUGAAGAUUCCUUUAUGUUAUAGCACCGAAGAUCAAAACAUAUCUCAAUAGAAAGAAUUAAGAGAUUAGUAAAUUAUGGAGUAUUUAGUACUUUGGAUUUUACUGAUUUUGAUAUUUGUAUGAACUUCAAUAAGAGAAAAUAGAUCAACAAGUAAAAAAAAAUGUGCUAAAAGGAGCAUAGACAUAUUGAAGAUCAUACAUUCAGACAUUUGUAGUCUAGACAUGGACUCAUAUGGUCUAAAAUACUUCAUCUCUUUCAUAAACGAUUACUCAUGAUACAUGUAUCUCUACUUGCUUCAUAACAAGAAUGAAACAUUAAAUGUUGUCAAGUUUUUAAGGCCAAAUUAGAAAAUCAAUAUGGAAACAAAUUAAGAUAAUGAGAACAAAUAGAGAUGGAGAAUAUUAUGGUAAAUACACUAACGAUGGACAAACACCCGGUCCAUUUGUGAAGUUUCUUCAAGAGCAUGGGAUAGUUGCCCAAUAUACCAUGUAUGGUUCUCCAUACUAGAAUGGCAUAGCAGAAAAAAUAAACUGAAUGUUAUUGGACAUGAUACAGAGUAUGCUUAGUAGCUCCAAGCUUAUUAAAUCCUUGUAGACUGAAGCUUUUAAAAUGACAAUGUAUAUAUUGAACCGAGUCCCAACUAAUGUUGCCCUAAAAACGUCAUUUGAAUUAUGGAAAGAUUGGAAACCGAGUUUGCAACAUAUACGCAUUUGGGGAUGCCCAUUUGAAGUAAGAGUUUACCACCCACAAGAGAAUAAACUAGACCUAAGGACCAUUAGUGGAUUUUUCGUUGGAUAUGCAAAAAGGUCUAAAUGGUACAUAUUCUACUAUCCCACAACACUAGGAUUGUGUAAUCAAGAAAUGCAAAAUUCCUUGAGAAUGACUUGUUCAAUGAGAAUAUCAAACCUAAAGCAUAGUCUCUGAGAAAGAUCAAUCUUCCAUUUCAAGUGAAAGGUUGGUUAUUAUUCACAACACCUCUCAAGUUCAAAUGGGAGUUGAGCAACCAAUCGUUGAAGUUCCACAAGCUAUUGAGAAUAAUCCAAUAGAUUAAGUUGUUCAGGAAAUGCCAAAAAUUGUUGAACAACCAAUUGAACAACAUAAUCCUCAGGAAAAUUUUGAUUCAACAUUAAAGAGAUCUACUAGAGCAAGGAAAUUAGCAAUUCCUAGUGAUUAUGUUAUGUAUCUAAAAUAAUUGGAUUAUAACAUUUGAGCCGAAAAUGAUCUUGAAACAUUUUCACAAGCCAUUAGUUGCGAAAGAUCAAAUUUAUGGUACAAUGCCAUGAAGGAUGAGAUGAAUUCUAUGGCAUCUAACGAAGUCUAGAAUCUUGUUGAGUUGUCUGAUAGUGCAAAAGUCAUAGGAUGUAAAUAGGCUUUUAAGACAAAAAAAGACUCAUUGGACAAUAUUGAAAGAUAUAAAGCAAGACUUGUUGCUAAAAAAUUCACUUAAAAGGAAAUAAUCGACUAUAAGGAGUCCUUCUCUCCUAUAUCUAAGAAAGAUUAUUUUCGUAUUAGUAUGACAUUGGUUACACAUUUUGAUUUAGAGGUACAACAAAUGGAUGUGAAAAUGGCUUUCCUUAAUAAAGAUCUAAAGGAAGAAGUUUACAUAAAACAACCAAAAGAAAUUUCCUCUAGAGAUGGUGAGCAUUUGGUGUGCAAGCUCAAGAAAUCCAUAUAUGGAUUGAAACAAGUCUCCCGUUAGUGGUACUUGAAAUUCCAUGAUGUUCGUUAUCUCUUCGUGUGGGUCUGUAGAGAAUAGUAUAAAUCAAUGUAUAUACCAGAAAGUUAGUAAGAGUAAAAUAUGUUUACUUAUUCUAUAUGUGGAUGACAUUUUACUUGCAACUAAUGAUAAGGGUUUGCUACAUGAGGUAAAACAAUUUCUAUUUAAAAACUGACAUGAAAUAUUUGGGUGAUGCUUCUUAUGUCAUUGGCAUUAAGAUACAUAGAGAUAGAUUUUGAGAAAUUUUGGGUUUGUCUCAAAAAACCUAUAUCAACAAAGUUUUAGAGAGAUUUUGGAUAAAAUAUUGUUCACCAAGUAUAGCUCCUAUUGUGAAUGGUGACAGGUUCAAUUUGCACUAGUGCCCAAAAAAUGAUAUUGAAAUGAAACAAAUGAAGAACAUUUCAUAUGUUUCUGUUGUUGGAAACUUAAUGUAUGCUCAAGUCUACAUAAGACUUGACAUUACAUUUUUUGUUAGGAUGUUAAGAAAAUAUCAAAGUAAUUCAGGUACAAACCACUGAAGAGUUGCAAAAAAUGUGUUAAGGUGUUUUCAAGGGACGAAGGACUACGUACUUAUGUAUAAACGGACUAAUAAUCUGGAGGUGAUUAGCUACUCAAAUUCAAACUUUGUUGGUUGUGUUGAUUCACAAAAAUCAACUUCUAGAUUCAUUUUUAUGUUCGUUGGUGGAAUUGUAUCCUGGAGGAGUGCAAAGCAAACUUUGUCUACUACUUCCACUAUAGAGGCUGAGUUUAUAUCUUGUUUUGAGGUUACCUCGCAUGGUGUAUGGAGGAAAAGUUUCAUUUUUUAACUUAGAAUUAUAGAUUCAAUUUCUAAGCUAUUUAGGAUAUAUUGCAACAAUUUAUGUGUAGUUUUUAUGGCUAAAAACAAUAAAAGUGGUAGUCGAAGCAAACACAUCAACAUCAAGUAUUUAGUCAUAAGGGAACAUGUUAAGAAGAAAAUAAUGGUUAUUGAAUACAUCAGCACUGAGUUGAUGAUAGUUGAUCCUUUGACAAAAGGCAUGCCACCAUUGAAAUUCAAGAAUCAUGUGAAUAGAAUGGGACUUCAUUCCUUUAUAUGAUUUUCGUUGUAAUAAUGAAUGUUAUUUGUGAUGAAACUUUAUUAAUGUGAUAAUAUUUUCUCUUAUUUGUUUCUAAUUUGUAUACACAUUCAUUCAUUUGAGAAAUAUUACUAAUGUUUGGACCUGAAAUAAACCUUAGGCUUAUUCAUUAAGUAAUGAAGGCAAGUGUUUAAGAGACAUGAUGCAUUGUGAUACAUGGAAGAUAAUACUUGUUUCAGAGAAUCUAUUGUCAUGAUUUGUGUAUUUUGUUUCUUACUAUGGUGAAUGAUGGAAUAUAUAGACCAAGUGGGAUAAUAUUAGAUUUUCCUAAACAGAUCUAGAAAUCUGGCCUAUAAUCUUCCAUUAAUUUUGGGAAUAAUGCUAGACUUAAAUAGGUCUAGAAAUGCUGUCUCUAUUAUUCUAGAAUUUCUAUUGAUUUAGUUUUACAUUUUUAUUGUCAUUAACAACCAUAAAUAAAUUAUGGUAUUGACUCUGUGAUGGGCAGGGUAAAUAUAAAUAGAGCCUUCGUGGUUAGGUCUCUAAGCUUUUGACUUCGAUUUUUAUUCAAAUACAUAUACACUAUUGUUUAAAAUUGAUUAAGAGUUUAGAAGCACCUCAACCCAUUUGAAGAUCAAAUUUGAUUUCUAAAUUCUCAAAUUGAGGUAUGUUCCUCUUCUCCUUUAUUUCCGCAUUUGAUAUAGGCUACACUGGAAGGACCCAGUGUUGUCUCUAUAAUUGACUCUUAUUUCGUCGUCAUGUUUCCGCCUCAAAAAACCCCGAUUCCUUGUUUACACACUGCUACCAAAGGGGAUAGAUUCCUUGUUUACACACUGCUACCACAGGGGAGAGAGGAGGAGAGCUACCAACCAAACAAUGGAGGUUGAAGCUCAGCUGAGCAGCAACACGAGGAAGGCUCUGCUGGUUCUGAGUUGUGUGAUUCUCUCAAUUGGACACUGCGGUGGUCCCUUGGUGAUGCGCCUAUACUUCGUCCGUGGCGGCGAGAGGAUAUGGUUUUCCAGUUGGUUGGAAACGGCUGGGUGGCCCUUGAUCCUAGUCCCUCUCAUCAUCACUUACAUGCACCGCCGAACUAAGCAAGGCUCCCAUGCCAAGCUCUUCUUCAUGAAACCUCCUCUGUUCGUAGCCUCCGCUGUUAUCGGUGUCCUCACCGCCCUCGAUGACUACCUCUACGCUUAUGGCGUAGCAAAACUGCCCGUUUCAACAAUUGCUCUCAUCAUCGCAAGCCAGCUCGCUUUCACAGCAGCCUUCGCAUUCCUCUUAGUGAAACAAAAGUUCACCUCAUACUCCGUAAAUGCCAUAUUUCUCUUGAGUAUUGGUGCUGGUGUCUUGGCUCUACACACUAGCUCCGACCGCCCUGCUAAUGAGUCCAACAAAGAAUAUUACCUCGGGUUUUUCAUGACACUUGCAGCUGCAGCGCUCUAUGGUUUCAUUCUCCCCCUGGUUGAAUUAACAUACAAGAAAGCAAAGCAGGCAAUAACCUACUCACUGGUCAUGGAGAUUCAAAUGGUGAUGUGCUUCUUCGCCACCUUCUUUUGCACAGUGGGGAUGCUGGUUAAUAAUGACUUUCAGGUGUAUUCCUCUUUUCUAUCCACCCAGUUACCUUUAACACAUUCAACCAGAUAGAACCACCAAAAACAAAGAUUGAUAAUUUAUGUUUGCUUCUUCCUCAUUUAAUUUUGUAGGCAAUUCCCAGAGAGGCAAAAGAAUACGAGCUUGGAGAAGCUAAAUAUUAUCUGGUGGUGGUAUGGAAUGGGAUCAUGUGGCAGUGCUUCUACUUAGGAGCAAUAGGAGUCAUCUUUUGCGCUUCAUCUUUGGUAGCCGGUAUUGUGCUUGCUGUCCUACUCCCCGUGACUGAGAUCUUGGCUGUUAUUUUCUUCCACGACAAAUUUCAAGCAGAGAAGGGGGUUUCACUUGCUCUCUCUCUUUGGGGUUUUGUUUCAUACUUCUACGGCGAGAUAAAGGAUAGCAAGAAAAAGAAGAAUCCCACUCCGGAGACGGAGCUGCCUCAAACAGUCAAUCCAUGAUAAACAAAUGUCUUUCUUUUCCCCACAGAAGAGGGGGGACAGGAUUCGCAUAUAAGCAUUUACUAGGGAAUUUAAAGAAACACUUCAUCUGUAUGUUACAGGCAGUUCAUAACCAAGACUAAAGUGGGUUUCUUUCCAGUUUUGAGAUGAAGGAAUUCCAAUAAAAUAUGGACUGUAAGGUCAAGGCGUGCUAAAUGUGAAGUCGAUACAGAGUGGGAAAAUAUGACAUAUUUUGAGACUUAAUAGUCAUAUCCAAUUUCUAUUAUCUAUAAUAUUAUAUAGUAUUAUAAAAUAAUCUCUCUCAUCCUUGGAUAUGGUUAAACUAUGUUAAAAUUUGAGUAUUCUGUUUAUGGUUGGUUUUAUCUCUGUAUGUUCUUAUUACAGCUUCCACUUAACACAUCAACUUAGUAUUAAAACCUUGGUUGAAUAUUUUUUAGAAGAACCAAAGAUAAUAGAAGAUUGUGGUCCAUGAAAAAAACCCUAACACACACUAUCAAUGUACAAUAGUGUAUACCAUAAAUAAAUAAAAAAGAAGAAAUAUUCACUUAAACGAAAUUUUUAACAGUAGAAAUGGUUGAAAAAUGCUUCCAAUUCCUAAAGAAUAUUUUAAAUAUUGAUUGGGAACUUGCAACAUUUCCCAAUAUUAGAAUCAAUAAGGAAACGGUCUUACUGAGAAAGAAUUGAAGUCAUCGUCAUCCAGGCAAGAUGAUGGGCCAUUAAGGUUAGGUUGGGAUCAAGAGAAGCUGGAUAUGGAUUGUUUUGUUAAUCCAGUAUAACUUAAAAGCUUAAUUAAGUUAUGUAAUAGUGGACCAACAGUGCACUUUGCACUGAUUUGGGUUACAUGUUAGGGUCGUAGCCCAAGUAGGUUGAUAUAUGAUGGUGGACCAACAACUGCAUGCGAAUGAAUGGCUAUGUGAAUUUCCUAAGACUCGGUUCAUUUCAACUUCUACUGAUUGCAUCGAAACUUUCGGGAAGAAUUGGCGUAUGGAUCUUCCCUAAAUGGGUGUUGACGCCGCCAAAAUAGGCACCUCCAAAUACAUGGCCUUAAGCCACCUACAGCAUAGCCGCCCAAGACGCAAGCAUCUGUAGCUAUCCAAAACGAGCUCGGCUAAAAAUAAGUGCCUGCAUAUGAGAUAUGACUCACAUCCAGGACUGGCAGGUUGACCGAACUGACCCUCAAAAGAAGGCCUCACCAACUCUUAAACAUUAUCGGAACAGGCUGGCAGGCUUUAACACAUGCCCUAACCAUAUAAACGUAAAAAAAAAAAAAAAGAAAAAAAAAAAGAAGAAGAUCAUAAUAAGACAAAAAGGGGAGAAAGAAAUUCUCUCGUCUACAGGUGUCGAAGCUUCAUUCAACACAGAGUUGUAAGAUUACCAAUGUUGGGUGCAGACCUAUCCUUUCUAGUUAUCUCCGCCGGUGAAGCUUGAGGAGGAAAAACAAACCACAAGGUCAUUUCGAUACUCUACUCUUUAGGCUUUACCUGGACACUAAGAAGAUAAUCAAAGAUUACAAAGCAGAAUAUGAGGAGGGAGGUUUGUGGUUUGGUACGUAUUGUAGCUUCAGAUUUGGUCUGUCCCAUAGAGUAAAAGUGAUGGUCCCCAGUUCAAAGCAACGAGGUAAGAGUUUUAUCACUGAAUUUGCUGGAUUUAGAAGGAUUCAUCGUUUCAAUAUGACGCCACUUAUUUAUUGUUUCGGGGUAUUCCAGGCAUGCUCUUGCUUACAAUUCCAAGACAAACGCAUCUCUUUAGAGGCACUGUCCUUGAGAAAUGGUAAAGUUCCUCCAAGCUGUGAGAAAAUCCAAGGGGUUUUUCCCGAGGAUUCUCCAUGUAUGGCCCCGUUGGGUUGAACCGUACGGGUUAGAAGGUGGAGUGGACUGAGUUGGCUCAACCAUCUUGGAAUAUGGAUUCAGCGUCAAGGAUUCGGCUGCACCAUGUUGGAGAUGGACUGACUGGCCCAUGUGUUCUGUAAGGGAGUCCAAUGGGCACCCAUGCAAUAAAAGCCCGUGUGACGUGCUCUUGGAGAUCAAAACAUGAUCCGUACAAUACAACUUACUGCCGACCUACGCCACAGGUCGUGGCGCUGGCACCCGUAGGGUCUAGAGACCACAUAUUCAAACUGAUAAUUACAGUAUUCAUUCCUGUCACCAAUUUCGAAAUGGCCCACCCAAGAAACAUGUGGAGCUUUCACCCAAAAUAUUGCGUUUUAAAAAAAAAUUUCAAAAAAUAAAGUUGUUUUAAAAAUAAUGUACGAUGUAAUAAAUAUAUACCACAUAAGCUGUCAUGGCAUAAAACUGUAGUUGAUGACUACGGUUUUAUUUUUUUAAAAUGGUUAGAAACCGUAGUUACCAACCACGGUUUUAACUUUAAGUUUAAAGCCGUAGUUGGUGACUACGGCUUUGACAUUUUUUUAAAAUGGUCAAAGUCAUAGUUACCAACUACGAUUUUAACUUUAUAUAUAUUUAUAUAUAACUUUAAUUUUUUUAAUAAAAAUAUUAUAUUAUUUUGAUUUUAAAUAUACUUAUUUCAUUAUUUUAAAAAUAAUAAUAUAUGAAAUUAAAUAAAUGAUAUUUUUAAUUUGAUAUAAAUAUAUUUUUAAAUUUUAUUAAAAUAAUAUAUUCUAUAUUUAAUAUAAAUAUAUUUAUUUAAUUAUAUUUAAAUAUAAAUAAAAUAUAAUAAAUUAUGAAAGCCUAUUAAAAAACAAAUAAUAUAAAUUAUUAUAUUAAUUAAUAAUUUUUUAUAUACUAUAUGUAAGUGGUAUAUAAUGUCACAUGUAUAUAAGUUCAAUUAAGUUUAAAAUUUAUCAUAUUUUAAUUUAAGUUCAUAAUAUUAUAUCGAUAUGAUAAUAAUUUAUUUAUAUAUUUAAAUAAAUAUGCUAAAUUUUAAACUUAAAUUAAAAUUAUAUAUAUAUAUAUAUAUGUGUGUGUGAUAUUAUAUACUAUUUACAUAUAAUAUAUAAAAAAAUUAUUAAUUAAUAUAAUAAUUCAUAUUAUUUUUUUCUCCAAAUAGGCAUUUAUAAUUUAUUUAUUUUAAAUAAACAUAAUUUAUUAUAUUUCAUUUAUAUUUAAUUUUAAUUAAAUAAUUAUAUUUAUAUUAAAUAUAGUGUCAAUUGUUUUAAUAAAAUUUAUUUAUAUAUUUAAAAAUAAUGUGAUAAAUUUUAAACUUAAAUUAAACUUUUAUAUAUAUAUAUAUAUAUAUAUAUAUAUAUAUGUGUGUGAGAGAGAGAGGUAUUAUAUACCACUUAUAUAUAAUAUAUAAAAAAAUUAUUAAUUAAUAUAAUAAUUUAUAUUACUUUUUUAUUUUUCUAAAUAGGUAUUUAUAAUUUAUUUAUUUUAAAUAAAUAUAAUUUAUUAUAUUUUAUUUUAAUUAAUUAAUUAUAUUUAUAUUAAAUAUAGUGCCUAUUGUUUUAAUAAAAUUUAAAAUAUAUUUUUAUAUCAAAUUAAAAAUAUCAAUUAUUUAAUUUCGUAUAUUAUUAUUUUUAAAAUAAUAAAAUAAGUAUAUUUAAAAUCAAAGUAAUAUAAUAUUUUUAUUAAAAAAAUUAAAAUUAUAUAUAAAUAUAUAUAAAGUUAAAACCGCAGUUGGUGACUACGGUUUUGACCAUUUUUAAAAAAAAAAAUCAAAGUCGUAGUCACUAACUACGACUUUAAACUUAAAGUUAAAACCGUGGUUGGUAACUACGGUUUCUAACCACUUAAAAAAAUAAAACCGUAGUCACCAACUACAGUUUUAUGACAUGGCAGUUUAUGUAGCACAGACGCAUUAGAUCGGUCAUUAUUUUCAAAGCAAUUUUAUUUUUUGGAAUUUUUUUUUAAAACACACUAUUUUGGGUCAAAGCUCAAUGGCCAUCAAACGGGGAAUCACGUGAUGAGAAAUUGAAGAGAAGAAUUAAAAACAAAAAAUAAAUAAAAAGAAGAAAAGGAAAGGUCAAUACCCCUCAAUCAGUUUCAAGAAAAGGGCAUGUGUUAUGAGCAAUGCACUGAAACGCGAACCAUUUCAGCCCUCCAAAGGACAACACAAGUUAAUAGCCCGUGUGGUCCCAACCUUCUGGAAAUACGAUUCCUCCCACCAAAUCUUGGUAAUCAAAAUAAAAUGGGUUAUCAUCUUCAACUGCUUUGCAUGCCUAAUGAACAUUGUUUUCGAUUACCAGUAUAGUUAGUUCUCUCAUUAACAUUUCUUCAGGAUCAAGGAUAUUGUUUUCAUUGACUUGCUCCUAUUUUGCAUUUGUUGAUGGAGAUACACAACGCACACACAUUAAUCCUAAUCUUAAAAAAUGGUAUUAAAUCUGUUCAAGGAAGCUAAGCAGGAAGAGCAUAAAACCUUGCAUUCACAGCAUUGUCGAUUUGUGAUUUAGCCCGGAUGCUUCUGAAAGCAUUAUGGAUAGGUUCGAAGCCCUCAGAAAUUAGACUAAUGCCAUGUUUACGUCAUCAUUACUAGCUUUCACACCAAAAUUCCAAAAAGAUAAACGCUAUGGUAUUAGUUUAAUGUUUAUCUCAUUGCCACCACACUAGUCAUCUAGAAGGUUUUACUGCUUUGAAUGGCUGCACAGGGUUUACACAAUAGAAGUAAAAAAAUGGGGCCUCUUCGCUGAAGCAUAAUUGGACUCUUGUGAGUCUAACCAUUAAUCUGGAACUGGAAAGCUGCCCUCUUUUAUUUAACUCCUAUAAUGAAGAUAAUGAUCCGAGACAUCAAUGUUUUCAACGAAAACUGGAUCGCUACACUUGGAUGUCCAGCAAAUUUUCAAUUUAAAUAAUGUACAAGACAAUCAAGGAGGUGAAAAAAAUUGAUGAAGCGAAUCAACAGUUUCUGAUACCAAUUUCAGGCACAUACGGCAUGUGCAAAUAUCUAGAUAUUUUAAUCCCAAAUAAAAUAAUGGUUCCUUUUUUCGUUUUCUUUUGUUUGACGUAUGCAUCAGGAACGGAACAUAUCUUAUAUUAUUUUGAUUCCAAAUUUCAAAUGAAGACGAGAUUCCAUAACUGAAUUGUCAACACGACCUUUGGGACUGAUGAACCUUAUUCAAACAAUGAUGAAAGGCAAAUUUUUGUAUUGAUAUAAUACAACUAGCCAACUGUAUGGGUGUAAGGAUCAAGGAAGACUAGGAAAUUUCGAAGGAUGAGACUACAACCCCAUCAGAAUGCCUUCUGGACCCACACUAUUUUAGUUCGUGGCAGUCAAAUCGCAAUAUAAUAGACGUAGGGAAGGACCCAAUGUUAUCACUAUAAUUGACUCUUAUUUCGUCGUCAUGCACCGCCUCAAAAAACCCGAAUUCCUCUUGGCACUGCGACUUCAAGGGAGAAGGAGAAGGAGUAGGAGAGGGGAGAGGGGAGAGGGGAGAGGGAGGGAGAGCUACCAACCGAACAGUGGAGAUGGAAGCUCAGCUGAGCAGCAACAUGAGGAAGGCUCUGCUGGUUCUGAAUUGUGUCAUUCUCUCAAUUGGAAACUGCGGUGGUCCCAUGGUGAUGCGCCUGUAUUUCGUCCGUGGCGGCGAGAGAAUAUGGUUUUCCAGUUGGUUGGAAACGGCUGGGUGGCCCUUGAUCCUAGUCCCUCUCAUCAUCACUUACAUCCACCGCCGAACCAAGCAAGGCUCCCAUGCCAAGCUCUUCUUCAUGAAACCUCCUCUGUUCGUGGCCUCCGCUGUUAUCGGUGUCCUCACCGGCUUCGAUGACUACCUCUACGCCUAUGGCGUAGCAAAACUGCCCGUUUCAACAUCUGCUCUCAUUAUCGCAAGCCAGCUCGCUUUCACAGCAGCCUUCGCGUUC
rnacentral:lncRNA from 1 species